rnacentral:lncRNA from 1 species
UCUGCACAUUUCCAACAACUGCUGUACUUACCACUACACCCCAUGUCAAGUCAUCGUCCUCAAAAACCAAGUUAUUCUCCACAUUUAUAGAGGUGUCGUUUUCACCCUUUUCUCCCACCAAUCACUCAUUACUUUCAUCCAUAUCUACCAACAAGAUGGGGUUAAUGACAUUGUAUCUAUCAUAAUGUGCUUGGUUGUAUUUUACAAACACCAAGUCAUUUAGUUGUUGCUUCUUCUUGGUUGGAAUCUAUAAACAUUUAUCAAAUAAAUGUUUACUGCAACCUAUAUAACAAAUUAACUAAUAAAGUUUUUAAUUUUAUACAUUAAAAAAUCAACAAGGUACUAAAUAUUUAUGUGCUCAAAUAAACUCCAGUUGCUUUCACAACUUGAUGCACUAUAAGUCAAGUUUUGGUUAGCUUUUGCAAAUUUGGGGUUAUGUUUCCAUAUAGUAUCCAAUGUUCAGCUCAAUGUUUCAAAUUUAAACAAAAAAAAGAAGUAAAUUAGCAAGAAAUAUUCGAUUUAAUAGCUGAAAAAAGAAGUAAUCUAAUGUUUUAUUUAGGAAUAUAAACUCUCUUAAAGUACUUGGAGCUAGCAUCUUCCUUGACAUAAUGACUAUUGGAAUGUCAAAAGUACCCUCUACAUUCUUAUAAGUUGACAAUUCGUAAAUGAUCUUAUCUUGCACAUCAAUGUUAGAAACUAAUCUAUCUAUGCAAGAAUAUAAUCCUGAUGUCACUUCUUCAUCAAACUCUAUACAAGGGUUGUCAUAGAAAAAUGUUUAAAAAGUGACCCGCGCGGCAUGCAAAGGAUUGUGGAAUUGACAUUACAAUCUUUUGUUAAUGAUAGAGAAAAUUUUCUUGUACUUAUCUUCAUUCUCGUUAAUGAAUUUCUAAUAGUCUCUUUACAUCUAUCCAUAGCUUCAUAUAUAUACCCCAUAUUUUCCUUUAUUGUCAACAAGUCAAAGAACUUUAACAAGAACCCAUCACCUUUAGACAAAAUGAAAGUAUCAAAACAAUUUCUAACAUGUGUUUUCCCUUUGCUUUUUUCACCCAUUUACUAUCUAACUACUUUUCAAAGAUGAACAUCAAUCUCAAAUUGCAUUUUGCAUGUGGAUACUUUGUAGGGUAAGAAAACAUGUUGUAAAUCAAGUUAUCCCUAGCUUCUAACCAAUUCUCUUGCUUGGUGAACUGUCUCAUCAUAUUUAGCACACCGACAUGAUUAUAGAUGAACCCAUUCAACGAAAUGGCUCUUGUCAAGGUCCUCUUAAUUGUAAGAAGUUUCCUAUGUUUUAAAAUGUUAUGCAAUAAGCUGUACAAGGCGUCCAAUGCGAUCAUACAUUUGUCUAGACAUUUAGAAGAAAAUUGUGCAUCAAAUUUUUUUAUGUAUUAUUUAUCAUUUGUGUCAUACAAAUGUGGUCACUUUUUCUCUAAACUUUUUUAUUUAAAAUUUUAACAUAAAAAACAUAAUAAAUGAUAAAUAAUAAGUUAUAAUAUACUAUUCCAAUUUAAAUGACACAAAUGAAACUUAAAGAACCUAGUAGAAUGAAAUCCUACCUGUUAAUACAUAGUUAGAUCCAUUAUUAGGUAUAUUACUUAGACAACAUUCUUCUUUUGAAUAUGCUCCACAAACUUGUCUAAUAAUUCAAAUGUCUUCUCCCUAAUUUUCAUGAAUGAACCCGCAUUAAUGGUAAUGUAGGAUAACUCUAGGAUUGUUGCCUACAAUCAAAUAGGUGGACUAGGGUUUUUAUUUUUUAUGGUUUAAGGAGAGGAACAAAGGAAAAAGUUUAUGGUAGAGUAAGAUGAUACAAAGAAUAAGAGAUAGAAACUUUAGAGUCUAUUGUAAAGUAUGCAAGAAAAUAUGAUAUUAUUAAUCAUCAAUCCAUUACUUUGGUUUACAUUAAUUAGCUUUAUUUAUAGGUUUCUUUAAGGAAUCCAAAGUCUAUUAGGAUUCCAAUAAGCUAUUAUGACUGUAAUUCUAAUUCUACUAUCACCUAAUUAGCUAUUCCUAAUUUGACUUCAAUAAUUGAUAGUUCUCAAAAUAAUUAUGUGUAAUCAACAAGUUUGUGGAGAGUCGUUUCCCAUACUUCACUUGAAUCUAGUCCCUUUGAUGACCUAUACUUGCCCAUAGCCCUUAGAAAGAGGAUGGAAAGUGUACCUAACAUUCCAUAUACAAUUUUAUUUCCUAAGAUAAACUUUCACCUUUAUGCAAAGCCUUUAAUUCUCUCCCAAGUGCUUGGUUGUGUCUCCUAUGUUCAUAUCCAUGUUCAAAAUCGUAGAAAACUUGACCUUAAAGCCCUUAAGUGUGUUUUUGUGGGACAUUUUCCAACAAAAAAAGGUUAUAAAUGUUAUCACCCAUCUUCCAAAAAGUUUUUCACAACCAUGGAUGUCACCCUUGUGGAAAAAUCAUUCGCUUUAUCCCAAGAUUUAUCUGUAGGGGGAGCCUUUAGUAGAAGAUAAGUCUUUUUUUGAUCUUGAGCUAUUUGUGUCUCACUUUGUCCUACUUACUGCGAGAGACCUAGUAACCCUAGUUUCGAGCCACUACAAGCAAUAUUUAAGAAGAAGAUAACCACAACAUGAACUAAAGCAAGUCUAAGAAUUUGAUCCCAUGAUAGGGGUAUCGAAUUGUUUUCUUUUUUUGAAUUGCUUUCUUCUCCAUAUAUUGAAAAUAGGUUGGAAAAUGAUGUUGAUUUUCAUAAUGAACCUAUUGCCAUGAGAAAAGGAACUUGAAAGUGCACUCAACACCCUAUUUCCAAUUUUGUCUCAUUUAAUAAAUUAUCAUCUUCACGCAAAGCCUUCCUUUGUCAAAUUUAAAAAUUUGAAAACAGUCUAAGACACUUAGAAGUGCGAAUUGGAGAAAAGUUAUGAAUGAGGAAAUGAGAGCACUUGAGAAGAGUCAAAUAUGGGAAAUUGUAUAACUUCCUAAGGGAAAAAGGUUAGUUAGGUGUAAAUGGGUAUUCACCAUGAAAUACAAUGGAAAUAGGACACUACAAAUCUUAGUUGGUCAUCGCAACAAUUUAGUGUUAAGAAUGUGUUUUUACAUGGUCAAUUGGAAUUGAAAGUCCAUAUGGAAGUUACAAAAUUUUAGGGACACUUGUGUGUGUAGGCUAAAAAAAGGCUUUGUAUAGACUUAAAGCAAUCUCUUAGAGCAUGCUUCGAUGUGGAUUCAGUAAGGCAAUGGUAGUGAUGAAGUAUAGAAAGAGUAAGGGAGAUCACACUUUCUUAAUUAAGAACUUAAUUAUUGGAAGUGUUACUACCUUAAUUGUCUAUGUGGAUAAUAUAAUUAUUAUUAGAGAUUAUUUGAAGGAAGUAGAAUGACUUAAAAAAUACCUAAUUAUAGAGUUUGAAAUAAAAGACCUUGGGAAACUGAAGUAUUUCUUAGCCAUAGAGGUGGCUUAUUCAAAGAAUAAUACUUUUGUAUCACAACAAAAAUGAAAUUUUUAAUUGCUAAGGGAAAUCAGGAUGCUAGGAUAUAAGUAGGUUUAUAGUUUUCUUGAACAAAAUUACAAACUUGGUGAUGUUAAGGUGUAAACCAAGGCAUGAAUCAAAGGUUAGUUGGAAAGCUAAUGAACUUAUCCCACACUAGACUAGAUAUAUGGCUUAUAUCAUAAGCGUCAUAAAUUAGUUUAUGCUUUCACAAAGAGGAAGUCCUCAUAAGUCAUAAAUUAGUUUAUGCAUUCAUGAAGAGAAAGUCCUCUUGAAUCAAUCUAAAGAGUUCAAUCCUCUUUAAGCAAUCUACACAAUUCAUUGACACUUGAAAUUCACUCUUGGAAAGGGUAUUUUGUUUAAAAAAGUAUGUAAUCGAUUUUGGAAGCAUACAUUGAAGGAGAUUGGGCAAGGUCUGGGCAAGGUUAGUGAUAGAUCGAAGGUUAACAUCAAGAUAUUGUACAAUCAUGGGAGGAAACUUGGUUACUUAGAGAAGUAAGAAGCAAGGAGUUGUGACUAGAUCAAACGUAGAAGCAGAGUUCAAGGCCAUGAUAUAAAUAAUAUGUGAGCUUCUUUGGUUAAGGAUUAUUCUUGAUUAUCUUAAAGUUAAAUGAGAAGAAACUACGAAGUUAUAUCAUGAUAACAAGUAAGAUAUUAUUAUUGCACAUAAUUCUGUUCAACAUGAUUGUACAAAGCAUAUGUGUAUCAUGAUAAAAGUUAGUCAUUAUUAUUGUACAUAAUCCUGUUCAACAUGAUUGUACAAAGCAUAUGGAAGUUGACAAACACUAAAUCAAAGAGAAGUUGGAUGGUGGCUUGAUUUCUACUCCUAAUUGAUAGAUAUCUAACUAAAGGACUUCUAAGUCAAGCAUCUGACAUGAGUACGAACAAGCUGGUGAUAAACAAUAUCUAUGCACUAGCUUGAAAUGAGUGUUUGAUGAAUUAGUUAAGAAUUCUUAUAAAAUAUGGAAGUAUACAAAUAAGCUAGUAAUGGACAAUAUCUAUUCACUAGCUUGAGGGGAGUGUUGGUGGAUUAGUUAAGAGUCCUUACAGAAUACGGGAGUAAAAGGCAAAUUGUUAGCAUGUUUUCAAAUUUAAGAAUCUAUAUAAUUUUUUUCUAUUUUUUCUAUGUAAUUUUGAUACCUUGAUUUUAGGGUAGAUAAUUUAGCAAGUUAGUUGUCUCUCUUUCUAUUGUAUGUAAAUGCUUAUAAGAUUAUAUAGAUUCAUUAUUCGAGAUACAAUAGUAUGUAUAUUCAUAUUUAGUUUUAAUUCUAAAAAUAAGGGUUGAUUUUAUUUGUCUUCUCUAAGGCUUUGGCUAAGCUCUUAUAGAUUUGAAAUUUCAUUAAAUAUUUCCCCUAUCAUUUUCAUUUGUUAUUUUUACCAACCUCCCUUCUCAAUCAAAAUAAGGAAGACAUUUGAUGAAAUUUUGAACCUAUGAGGGCUAUGUAUAUUUAGCUAGAACCUUAGGGGAGGUGAAUGAAAUUAACAUUUUUUAAAAUUCUAUUAUUUGGAAGAUUUAGGAGUUUUAGGAAAAAAAUAAGAGUUUAACAAGUCAAUACAUUAGUUAGGUUUCUAUUUUAAUGGUCCUAUUGAAUUUCUGGGGUAUUUUUAAAGCUUGUAAAAUAAGGCUAAUAGCUUUAAAACUAGAUUAAUGAAGUGAAUAAAUGAUGAAUAAUAUGAUUUAUUUUUUUUGCACACUUUGCAAUUUUCAAUAACGAGACUCCAUUGUUUUUCCUUUUGGCAAGAGGCCUAGAAAAUAUUAGUAUGAUUGAAGGCUUUAUCCUAUCCUUUUCUUUUCUAUCAUUUUUUUCUUUCCUAUUUAUUUUUUAACUUUUUUUUUCCUUGCCACCAUGAUUUUAUUUGUCACUCUUUUCCUUAAAUCCUAAAAGAUUAAAACACUAGUCAUCUUACAUCAAUUUUGGUGUAAAAAGAAAGUUCUUGAGCUGAAGGUGCAUACUAAAUGUGGAGUAGAACAAUUAAUGUAACCAUGGUUAAGCUGCUUUCCCGAAUAGUAGAAAGGGAGACGAAAUAUAUGCUUAGAACCAUCAAAGAGAAAAGAAUCAAAAUUUGAAUUCAAGAUCUAGGAUGCAAAAAAUUCAAUGGUCAUGUCAUGGUGACUGAGCUCUAUGCAACUAGAGAUUGGGAAAUCUUUUCUUUAUCUCUUAAUGGCUAAGAAGGUGUUCGAUGUUGUGUCGUGGGCUUAUUUGAAGAAGUGAAAUGCUACUCACAUCUAUGAAUUGAAGACGACCAUUCAUAAUACAAAACAGCAUGAUCACUAUGUGAUGAUUUACUAUGACCAAGGAUGAAAUUAUCGGUUUUGAUGGAUAUAUUGGUAACUUUAUUUUACAGAUAUAUCGGGAUAUAUUGAGAAAUAUCGAUGAAUAUUUUGACAUAAAAUAUCAAUGAUGUAAAAUUACUGAAAACUCUAAAAAUAUUAUGAAAAACUUUUAAAAAAUUUAUAAAAAGUAAAAAUAAACAUUUUAAAGUUAUUUUUUUGAAAAAAAUGAUAUAUAUAAUUUGCCAUAUUUGAUAAUAAUAUCAUAUAAAUUUAUAAGUGUACAUUUAUUAUUAAGUUGCAUUUUAUAUUAUUUUAUAAUAAUAUUAAGAUAUCAUGUCUAAUUUUAAAAUAUAUUUAAUACUUUUUAUAUAUUAUUUUAUAAUAAUGUUAUGAUAACAUGUCUAAUUUUAAAAAAUAUUUAAUAUUAAAAUUAUGAUCCAUUUUAAUUCAAAUGUAUUCAAUGAUAUAAAAUAAAUGAUUUUUUUUUUUAAUUUGUAUUAAUUUUUUAAAAAAAUUAUCAAAAUUUUAAAAUAAAAAAUACUUAUACAAAUUAUCAUUAUUUUUCUAUGUCAUUAAAUACAUCCAAAUUAGAUGAAUAUGCAUAAAAUGUGUUUUCAAGUUAUAAACAUUAUUAUUAAAUAUCACAACUAUACAUAUAUCAUCAUUUAUUUUAUAUCAUAUAAUUAAAUUGAAUUAAAUAGAUCAUAAUUUUGAAAUUAAAUAUAUUUUUAAAUUAGAUAUAUUAUAGUCGAAUAUCAAAAUAUUAUUAUGAAAUAAUAUUUAAUGUAAUUUAAUAAUAAAUGUACCCUUAUAAAAUUCAUAUUUUUUAUCGAUGUAUACGAUAUUAUUAUUAAAUAUGAUAAAUUAUAUCAUGCAUAUAUCAAAUUCUUCAACAAAAUAACUUUAAAAUGUCUAUUAUACUUCUAAUUACAUUUCUACGAGAUUUUUCUUACAUUUCCAUGAAUUUUGAUCAAUUUUAGAUCUAUGAAUAUUUUUUUCAAAAUAUCCGCCGAUAUAUCUAUAAAAUUGAAGUAUCGAUAUAUCCGUAAUUACCGAUAUUUUCAUUAUUGGUUACAAGAACUCAAUCUCCUUCAACAUUUUAAAAUGACAACCCUUGAAGAUGCAAUGACUUUGGCAGAAAUUCUGGAAUGCAAUGAAGUGUUUGAUUUUUUGGUUGGCUUCAAACCAAAUUUGAUGAGGUAAGGGGUAGAGUCCUUGGUAAAAAGCCUAUUCCUUGUCUUAGUGAUAUGUUUUCUUAUGUGAAUGCUAGGAAAAGACCGAAAAAGUAUUAUGAUGGGUCCAAUCUCAUAAGAAGUCUUGGCUUUGAAGAUUGAACAAGAUGGAGGCUUCAAAAAGUUUCCCUAUCUCUUUAAACAAAUUGGAGAAAAAGAUACAAGAAUCUUUAUAAGAUCCUAAAAUAAGAUUUUGAUAACUGUGUAUUACCCUAGAGAUUGUUCCCACUCUGAGGUACCAACUUAAACCUAGGUCAAGAGUGCAUUAAGCACCUUACUAUAACGAUCAUGGAUUUUGCACCUAUACACAUUCCUUCUCUUAGGACUUAGGUUAGGAAUGCCUAAAGCUAGCCUUAUUCUCAUAUCAGUAUUGGAACUUAAAAGACCAACAACUAUCCAUUAAGACAGUAAGGCUACUAUUAGUAUUGCUCAUAGUUUGGUCUAACACAAUCAAGCAUGUAAAUGUGGAUAAGCACUUCAUAAAGGAGAAAAUUGAGAUUUGCAAAUUGUAACCCCUUUUGUGUCUACUAGACAAUAUGUUGACUAACCAGCCUUUAUGACCCUUAUUUAAUAGGGAAAUAAUGGUUACUUUUCAACCUCUUAAUAGUAAAAUCAAUAGUUGUAUAUUGAAAUUUAAAUUCUGAAGUUAGAAUUAGAAUUCCCCUGAUUUUUGGGACAAAUUUCUAAGAGUUAUUUUGUUUCCUUUUUUCAUUAUAUAGAUGCCUAUAAGAUGUACAAAUUUUCCUCAUAUCAAUCUAUGAGAGUACACAUAUGCCUACAUGGUAUAAGAGCUUUAGGCAUUUUUUUUAACAAUUGUUUAAGUUUAAGAAGUUCUACGAUUGCUGGUGUUUUUCUACCAGCAAUGAAGCACCAUCCUGAUUUGAAAAACAACCCUAAAUUCUUUUGUAUUCAACUAGUUAGAAAGCUUCAAGGUAAGUGGUGCAAAAUAAUUCCAGUGAGUAUGUGGUAAAACCUAAGAAUAGGCAAUGAUGCAAACAUGCACAUGUUGCUCACUCUGAAGAAAUCACCUAUAGAAAAAUAGAUCAAACAACUCUGAGAUUGGCAUAUUCAAGAAAGAAGAGAUAGAUUAGCUUGGAAGCCUUCCGAUAGUCCUAGUGCCUCAUGCUUCCUUGCACACUCAACUAGAUUUUUGGAUUCUCAUGCUCUUAGUGCCUUAGAAAACUAUUUUUCAAGUGCUUAAGUCAUUGAUUCAAGUGUUAUUGACCAUAUGACAAACUCUUCCCAUCGGUUGUCUUCAUAUAGUCCAUGUCCUGGAAAUAGGAAGAUUAAAGUUGUUGAUGGUGCAUUGGCCAUUGUGGUUGGUUAGGGCACAAUAAAUUUGUUAUCCACUCUAUCAUUAAAAUCAGUAAUACAUGUGCCAAGAUUAUCUAAGAUUAUCUAUUAACCUUUUAUUGGUCCAUCAAAUCACUAAAGAUUUAAAAUGUCAUAUAACAUCCUUCCCAACUCAUUGUGCGUUUUAGAAUCAAGCUACAGGUAAGAUGAUUAGGCAUGCUAAAGAAUAGGAGAGACUUUACUUUCUUAAAGCUUGUUGUGAAAAAAGUGAUAGGUUACCACUUUUCUUCCCACCUCUCUAAAAAAUUUUCAUCUAAUAAGGACUAGAUUUGGCUGUCACCAAAGAUUGGGACAUCCACCUUUUCUUUUGCUGAAAAAAUGUUUCCCCCCUAUUUGAAAAGUUAGAUCUCAGUGCAUUCCAUUGUAAAGUUUGUGAGUUGGCUAAAUACCAUCGAACCUUGUUUUUAUUAAACAAUAAAAAAUCUUUUCAUCCAUUCACUUUGAUUCAUACUGAUGUAUGAGGUCCUUCAAGAAUUCUAAAUAUUUUAUGUUCUAAAUGGUUUUUAUCAUUCAUUGAUGAUUGCACUAGAGUUACUUGGCUUUAUUUGCUGAAAAAUAAGAAUGAUGUGAGUAAUGUGUUCCAUGUAUUUCACAAAAUGAUUGAAAACUAGUUUAAAGUUAAUAAAAGUUGUCAAGUUAGACAAUGCGAGGGAAUACUUUAAUUAGGUUCUAUCAUUUUAUUUUAUUUUUUUUUUUUAAAGUAUUAUCCAUUAAUCCUCUUGCAUAAAUAUCCCAUAACAAAAUGAGGUUGCAGAAAGAAAAAAUAGGCAUUGAUUAGAAGUUAAAAAAAGCCCUACUAUUCCAAAAUAAUAUGCCUUAAGUCCUAUUAGGGGAAAACUAGUCUUUUUGAUACAUAGAAUGCCUUCUAAGGUCUUGGAUCAUCGAUCCCCAAGGGCUAUCCUCUCAUAAAAUUUUCUCGACUUCAAUGGUUUCAACUAACUCCUCCUUAAAGUGUUUAGGUGUAUCUCAUAUAUGCAUAUCCAUGACCAAAACCACAACUAAGCUAGAUCCUAGAACUCUUCAAGUGUAUCUUUAUUGACUACUCUCCAACAAAGAAAAGGUGCAAACGUUAUCACCCAUCUUCCAAAACAUUCUUCACAUACAUGGAUGUUUUGUGGAAAAGCAACCCUUUUGCCUUAGACCUGAUCUUCAGUGGGAGCCUUUGUUAGAAGAUAAGUCUCCCAUUCUAAUGAAUCCACCAGAUCUUGACUUACCCUGUGACCUUUUUUUGCCCUUUCACCCACUUGGUAUCUCUGAGACACAAUUAGAAGAAAAAAUACCCGUCAAUACUAUCACUACACUAUUACAAGUCUAUUCAAGAAAGAAGUCUCACCCACUUGGUACUGAACUUUUUACUUCUCUUAAUUUACCUUCUUCACCACACAUUGACCAACCCAUAUAAAAGCAUGUGGAUGAACCUGUCUUCAAGGAUCUAAAUUUGCCUAUUGCCAUUAGAAAAGACAUGCACGUUAACUAGCUUGUAAAGCAGCAUGCGGAUGAACUUGUCUUUAAUGAUCUAAAUUUGUCUAUUUCCAUUAGAAAAGGCACCCAAACAUGCACCAAACACCAUAUUUCCAACUUUGUCUCAUUUGACAAAUUGUCACCCUCACACAAAGCCUUCCAUAGUCACCUAAGUCCCUUAGAAAUCCCAAAAAUGGUUCACGAGAGAGAAAUGCCAUGAGUGAGUAAGUGAGAGCACUUGAAAAAAAUCAAACAUGGGAUGUUGUAAAACUUCCUAAAGGGAAAAGACCAAUUAAAUGUAAGUGGGUAUUCACUAUUAAGUACAAAACUGAUGGGACUUUAGAAUGAUACAAAAGUAGAUUCGUAGGUAGAGGGUAUACUUAGACUUAUGGAGUGAAUUACCAAGAAACUUUUGCACUAAUGGCAAAUAUGAACACAUUUCAAGUCUUAUUAUCUUUAGCUACUAAUCUUGCUUGGUAUUUGCAACAAUUUGAUGUUAAAAAUGCCUUCUGACAUAGUGAUAUGGAAGAGGAAGUCUAUAUGGAGGCUCCACUAGGAUUUGAUGACAACUUUGGUAGUGAUUUUGUGUGUAGACUAAAGAAGGUGCUAUAUGUGCUUAAGCAAUCUCCUAGGGCAUUGUUUAGGAGAUUUGCUAAAGUCAUGAUGAGGAUGAAGUACCGAUAAAGUCAAGGAGAUCAAACUCUCUUUAACAAGUACUUAACAUCUAGAAAGGUCACAACUCUAAUUGUUUAUGUGGAUGAUAUAGUUGUGACUGGGGAUGAUUUAGAAGAUUGAAUAGCUUAAAAAACAUCUUGCUGCAGAAUUUGACAUUAAAGAUCUAAGGAGGCUGAGGUACUUCUUGGGUAUUGAGGUCUCUCAUUCGAAUAAGGGCAUUUUUAUUUCACAACAAAAAUAUGUUCUUGAUCUCCUAAAGAAAAUCGAGAUGUUGGGGUGUAAGCCAACCAAUACUCCCAUUGAACAGAAUCAUAGGCUUGUGGAUGACAAGGAUGAUGCAGUAGUGGACCAAGGUAUGGACUAAGGGCUAGUGGGAAAAUUGAUUUACUUGUCAAAUAUUAGGCCUAAUUUAGCCUAUGUUGUGAGUGUGGUUAGUCAAUUCAUACAUUCACCAAAGAAUAGCCAUCUAGAGGCAAUCUAUAAAAUUAUAAGAUAUUUGAAACUCAAUUCUAGAAAAUGAAUUUUGAUUAAGAGGAAUAUGGACAUAAAUUUGGAAGCAUACAUUGAUGUAGACUGGAUAGGGUCAGUUUUAGACUGAAGAUCUAUCCUAGGUUACCACACAUUCCUAGGAGAAAGCCUAGUUACUUGGAGAAGCAAAAAGCUAGGUGUUAUGGGCAAGUCAAGCACAAAGGCAGAAUUCAGGGUUAUGGCACAAGGAAUAUGUGAACUUCUUUGGUUAAAAAUCAUUCUCGAUUUUCUCAAGAUUAAAUAGGAAGGAACAAUGAAGUUAUACUGUGAUCAAAGGUUGGCCAUUAACAUUGCCUAUAAUCCUAUCCAACAUGAUUGGACAAAGCAUGCAAAGAUUCAUGGACACUUCAUCAAAGAGGGAUAGUGGCCUCAUUUGUUCUUCCUGUGUUUCAACAAAAAGAUAGUUGAUAAAUAUCCCAAGUGACUUUCAAGUCAAAAUUUUUAGAUGAUUACUAGCAAGCUUGAAAUGGAAAACAUCUAUUCACCAACUUGAGGGGGAGUGUUGAUUAAUCAACCUUUUAAUAAGGAAAUAAUGGUUGGUAUUCAACCUCUUAAUAGACAAGUUGAUAGUUGUAUAUAGUAAUUUAAAUUAGGAAGUUAGAAUUAGAAUUCCCAUGAUUUUUGGGACUAAUUUCUAGAAAUUAAUUUGUUUCAUUUUUUCAUUGUUUCCUAUAAGAUGUCCAAUUUCUUCUCAAAUCAAUUAACAAUUGUUCUCACAUAUGCCUACAGAAUGACUAGAAAAUGUCUUCACUAAAAUAAGUCACAAACACCAUGUUUAAUUCUAUAAUAAACAAGCUGGGAACACAUAAUAUCUAUGCACCAGCUUUGAUGGGGGGAGUAUUGGAAAACAUGGAAUAUUUUUUCUGAUUUGAUUAUGGAUUAAAACCAUGGGAUUUGAACUGAAAAUCAAAUUAGAUCCAUAUACUGAUAAUAAGAUAGACAAGUUAAAGUAACACUAGAAAUUUGUUUUUAUUUCCUAAGCCUAUUUCCUUUUUCUUCCCCUUAGUAUACAACUUAUAUAAAUAAGUUGUAACUCAAUCAAAUUUCACGUUUUCAGUUCUCAAACAUGAAAUUGUCAUAAAGUCGAUAGUUUUCGUCAAACAUGUGUGUGGUUGCAUAAAAGUUACUCGUAAUGGUAGGCCCAAAACUAGCAGUGUGUCAAAUGAAUGGCCUAGGUUGUAUUCUAAAAACUGUGAUUAGGCAGCUCAACCUUUUAAAUAUAGGAAGAUCAUCUUUUCUUAUAGGCAAAUGAGAAAAGUAUAUUACAAGGCACCUAACAGAAAGGGGCCUGACCCUGGUACACAGGGUGUGUAUAAAGCAAACCAAAAGUGGGAAAAAAGGAUAAAAAAAGACAAGAAAAGCAAGUGCCUAUCCUUUUCUUAGAAAUUCAAUAAAAUCAAGUGGGGAAGAACCGAAAAAGUCCAAAGAGAUGCUAAGAUGCUAGGAAAAGAGAACAAACUGUAAGAAUAAAUUCUUUAUUACCACAGUCGGACUUGCCUUUGCCCGUAGACUCCAAUUGUGUCUAAUCCAGCAAAGAGAGGUGGGUCUUUAAGAUCUUUGGCUUAUUCCAACAAAACUCUCAUGCCAACCUAUCAACAACUCCUUUAAGGAUAGGGAACCACCAAAGAAUAAGAAUGUUAUUAUUCCUUAUCUUGCUUGCCAAGGUAGCAUUUACUAGCAGGAGACCAGUCCCCAUUCCCAAGCUGAUUCAUUGGUAAAAUCUCCCCUAACAACCUUCUUGAUAAAUUAACAAACUUAAAAUGUUGUCCCAGGUGUGAAUCUCUUUAGCCAGAAAAGAACAAAUAGCUUUCAGGCUUAAUAGUUGGGAUUUGAUUUAAUAGAUAAGUCACCAAGCCCACACUAACUUAUCAAAGUAAUUCUCACUUACUGACAUAAUGAAUGUAGUGAAAGAAAGCACACGCCAUGCUAAGUUUCAUAUCAUGGAAACUUCUCCUACUCAAGGGGAUCAAUGACCCUAAACCCCCCAACCUUUUCACAGGUGUGACACCCAAGCAGUUCUGCAAGAAGUAUAAUCAAAAGCAUUGAAAAAGAGUCUCAACAAACACUUCCCACAUCAGUCAUCCAGCCAACAGUUUUGUCUGGGGACGAUCUCUCAUGAUAGUGAUUCUUGUCACCUUUUUCUGAUUGCUUUCCAAAGGCAAACUCUACACCACUCACUUUCCUCAUUAGAAGCCUAACUUGAUCCUCCUUGAAAUUUACCUUGAAUGACUCUCCUCCACAAGUUUAUCACACUCUAUCCUAAACCUUCAAAGUCACUCCCAGGUAAAGCCUUGUUGAGCACUGAGAGUUAAGUCAUUAAAAAGGAGUGAGCCAACAAUCAAUUACUGGGCAGUUUUUGAUUCUCUUGAUUUUGAGAAACAUCCACUCACAUUUUAAAAAUUAGAUGUAUGAUAUACUAAUUAAAAAUGUUACAUUUGUUUUUAUGUUCUGAGGACAGAAAGGGAAGAAAAAAUGAUGUGAAAAACCUAUAUCAUAAAGUGUCAAGUUGAGAGCUUAAACAGUACAACUAUUAACUAAAGGCAAAUUUCUGAGAUUCAUGGUAGUGUAGGACUACUGCCUUCUGUUGUUCUUAAAUUGAAGUCCAAAUUGGCCCCUAAUUUAUUUUACAAUGUUAAGAAUAGCAUCAGCUUUUACGUUACAAUGUCCACUAAAAUGCAUAGGAUAACUACUGAAGCAGAAUUUUAAGAGUUCUGUAGUAAGAUCAAACAGGUUCCAGCACCCAUCAUUGUCUAGUGGAAAUCAGGUUAGCCCAUGGCACUACAUCUUUGAUCUUAGCUAUUGAGGUAAAAUUUUAAGAUCUUCACUAGGAAGAGUUUGUUAGAAACUUAGAAGUUACCUUUCUAGAUUUGGUUUGAAGCAGGGCAGCAUCAAGUUCUCUCUCUAGUUGCACAAGGUCAGUCACGCUCAUCUGCUCAUCAUUUUGCCCUUCAAGUUGGCUGUGGAAACAUGAGAUUAAUUAAAUUACAGGAUUGUAUGAAGCUUGUAAGCACACAAGCACAUAGGGAGGUUUUUGUUGUUGCCUUUGCACUGUCUGCAGUAGCUCAGUCCAGUCUCUUGUAUACUCGUAGUGACAAUUCUGUGGUACAGAGGAGAAAAGUCUUUAUUAGUUACAAAUACAUGAUAUCAGUAUUAUAUGAUAUUAGACAAAAAGGGUGACCAGGCAAAAAAAUUUAAACCAAAUUUCACAUGUGUAUGACAAGAAAUUCUAUUCUGUUUCUACUGUAGACCCAUAUAAUUAUUGCCAAAGCUUGUUCAACCAUAUUCACAUCGAUACAACUGGAACUAUACCCUGUAUAUUGUUUUCCAACUGUAAAUAGUAAAAAGUGGUAAGACUUGUAUCAUCAUUGUUAAAUUUGUAUGACCAAAUAGGUUACAUAUGUUGGUCAAUCUUACAUUAGCGGUAUCAAUCUCUGUUAUGCCCCAACUUAAAUCAACACAAUACAUUGGUUGGGAAAGUAUUGGUGCAAGACUCCAGAAGGAAUGUUUUAGAUCACUAUCAGCUUGCAAAAUUGGCAAGCGUGGGGCUCUUUUUCAGAUGAGAACUUGUGAAUGAAGGUUACUAAGUCGUUAUUCCCCUGUACUCUAAGGUUCUACCUAGCAUAGAUUUAGAUGUUGCUACAGUGGGUAGAUAUUUAAAUGAAGGUUUUGAGCGCAGCAGCUGAAUACUAUUCUGUGGGAACCUAACAAAUAUCAAGUUGGAGGAGGAAUUCAAGCUCAUGAAAAUUGGGUGGGAUAUCUAUUUUCAAAGAUGCUACAAUCUAAUGUUAAUAAAGAAAAGGAAUUGGAUGAAGUUAUCCUUAGGGCAGAACAAGAUGACUGUUGUUGAUUAUUGAUAUCACAUAUGUUCAUGAUGCAAUCAUGAUUCCCUGGUCGUUGUCCAUAACCAUGCCCAUGACGCAAUCACAGUCUACUGGCAGAGUCACCUAGUUGUUUAUUAUUAUCCAGAUACCAAUCAAAUCAACAAAUUAAGCAUCUUGCAUAAGUAGAGUUCUAAUCCACCUGCGGUUCAGAGGUUUCUAUUCAAAUUAAACUAUCCCAGACGGUUUCUGGAGUAGGCAGACUUUAGUAAGAUUAGUAUUGUUUCUAUGAUGAUGUCUCUACAUGACUUCUGCAAAGUGAUGUGUCUGUGAAACUAACGGUUGCCUUAGCCUUUUGGUUUCAUAGUGUGAGAUAGUAUAUAUUUCCAACAUGAAGUAGUUAUUGUCAUCUAAAUUAAUGGUAAAAGAAGUUCUAACUGGUUUAUGAUCUGGCUAAAAACAUUGAGAGGCAAAACUAGCAUUUGCUUACCUCUGAUUCAUUAGCACCUGUAGAGGCAUUGCCUUCUGCUUCAAAAUGACUCUGAUAACGUUCAAGGAUCCUAGCCAAACUGAAAUCACAAACACUAGUUAUGUAGACCUUUUUGAAUUAGGAGUGUACCAAUGAACUGAAUUAGAAUGCAACAACUACUUUCAGGAUUAUAGCACCAACUCCACAGUUCCAUUGAGUACCAAAAUGUAUAUGUUCAUCUAUCAAUUUAAUUAUUAAGUCCAGGACAAUAUCUGAGUUAUGUUAAAGAGAGAAUCAAACAAUACACCGAAUGGCAUGCCAGGAAAGAUUAUACUAUGAAAGAGCACAUUUAAUUAUUAUUAUACAAAUGUUCAUAGUGGGGACAGAGAUUUCUUUUUUCCUUUCUUUAUUCGAACAAUUUUUCUCAGAAACAAUCAAGUAAUUAAAUUCAAAAUGGAUGAGAAUUCAUAUGAAUUUAACCAAAAAAGGAUAAGAAAUUACAGCCAAAGAUCUCCAAACAAAAGCAACAAGAAGCAGCAACAACUCAAAAGUGGUAAAAAAUUUCUUGGCACCACACUAAGCCGAUUCCCUUUUUGUUAGGCAAGCAAGGAAUCCAAGUGAUACCACACACCAAAAGUUUUCAUAGACCUCACUUUUUUCAUUGACAUCUAGUAUCUGAGGCUCCCUGUAUCAGGUAAUUGGAUAGUUGCAGCAAUCGAGUGUCAGCCAUUGUGAUCCCUAAUAAUUCACCAAUCCCUCCCUAUCCCAGAUUACCCAAUGGGCAUUCAUCAACUUAAUUUGAUCCGGGGAUGAUUCCCACUUUGCUCUCACCUCCACAGCUCUCCUAGUAGGAUUACCAGCAAGGUCCCUGUCAAGGAAGAAAAUACUCUAGCAGAAACCAAAAAUACCAGAGAUGUCAAUUUGCUUGCUUGUGUAGUUUCAACAGAAGUUGACAAUCCAAGAUGGUGAGAAAAGGACUUGUCUAGGAUGAAAAAAUGGCGAGUCCCUACACCUUGCUUUUAGAAAAUUUUUGGGAAAUUGACACUAAAAAGGCAGAUCCCCCCACCAUAUGAUAGCCGAUCCUCAAAACUACAUAGAUAUAACCCAGAUACAGUAGUUAUGAAUGGAAUGGAGCUUUGGCAAAAUGUUGAAGUUAAGUCAUGGCAUGUUUGGGCUAAAUGUGUGGAGAAUAGGUGGGGUUUCCUCAGUAAAAACUAGGUUACUUGGCAACUACUAUCAGAACUAAGACAGAUUUAUUAAAGCAUUAAUAACUUAAUUACCUUGUUAGAGAACUGUCCAGGGAUUUAUGCAGUUUCACCCAUAACUUUAGAUCACUAAUACGGAAUGGAUCCAGUAUAAUCCAUUAGUGAAAUUUAUUAAAUAAAUUUCACUCAAUUAAUGUUAUGUGAACUCACAAGAUGGAAUCACAUUUGCUAGAGGACCACCACCAUUUGAGCGAUGGCAUACACUAUUAUGGCAGCCAAAAUGGCACUGUCCUGCUACAUCACAGAUAUUAAUCAAGCACUAUAACUCAUGUACUAGUGUUGCUUCAACAACGGAACAAGUCCUUAACUAAAGUGCAAGUUGUGAGGACGUAAUCAUAUAUCGAUUGGCUUAAUUCUUUCAAAAUUGUCUUAACUACUCAUAAAAGAGGCUUGGUCCCAAGCUUUACAUCAAUUAGGUAGACUAAAUUACACUAGUGGCUAAUUUUAGUUUUUAUUGUUAGCCAUCUCUCAAUUCCCCCAAUAACUUCAGCUUUUGAGAUAAAUGGUUGUCUAACAUGGUAUCUAAUUAUUCUUCUUGUUGGUCUAUGACAAGAUAGUCUCUGGAGGUGUAGGUUUUAGGUCACACAUGUAAGAGGUGUCACCUAUUCCUUAAUGGCUUAAGCUUUUGGGUAAAUGGUUAUUCAACAUGAUAUUAUUUAUAGUUAUAUAAUGAAUUGAAUAACCAAAUUUUCUUAAUGAGACAAUGAAAUCAAAUUUCUAGUUAACAAGGGAUUUGACUUGUUUAACAUAAUUGAUAUUUUUUUCCUCAUAAUAUAAUAUAGUUUUUUUCCCUAGUAAUCUAAAUCCAUUUAGAAAGUGAGGACAAUCCCAAAUUAGAGCCCUGUGUGAAAAAGGCUAAGAAGAGUGUGAACUGUAUUUUGAUUUUCUGUUUGUUUGAUUGAGGGAUGUGGUUUUUCUCUCUCUAUGUUUUAAGGAUUUAUGGUGUAUUUCUCGAGGUAGUAGACAUUAGCCAACUAGCAAGGUAAGUAUGUGGGACAGAAACAAGAUAGAUAAGUUGGUGGGAAGUAAUGAGGAUGGCAUGUGAUUUGACUUGUUUAGCAUCCUCAAUAUUUUUCCCUAUAAUAUAGUACACUCAAUUAUCUUUUCUUGACUAUUCUAAGUUUAACAACAAAAUACAAUUUUAUGUUUUUAAUUGUUUCCUUUUCCUCUAAAUUUUUUUCCAUGGUUUUACAUUUCUCAUAUCAUUUUGAUUCAUUUAUAAAACAUGCCACUUUUAGUUCCAAUCAUUUUCUAUGACAGAUCUUUUUAAACCCUCUCAAAAUCAAAAGUUUGAAUUAGACCACACAGUUGUUGAAGGGGUGCUUAAGUUAAAAUAUUAAACUUCUAGAAUAGGUACAAUGAUUGGAGCCAAAAUAUGUGCUCUAAUGACACAUAUUCGAUAUGAUUUGUGCACCAAAGGACACUCAAAUCACCCAACUUGACCUAAAUCGAAGCUAAGGCCCUAGUAAUGAGUUUAAGUUGUAUUUUGGAGAUUUAUCUCGGGUUCAAGGGAAGAAAAAGGUGCAAGUUGAAUCACUUUAAAUUUUGAAAGAUCAAGAAAAUGUUAAAUGAGGAAAUAAGUGAGUCAAGACUCAUGGACCAUGAGGAAAGGCAAGACGCGGAUAUCAUGAGUUUGGAACAUGACAAAUGACCAUUAUGGAGUAAGAAAGAAGGAAAGAAAACAUGGGAAAUGAAGCAUGAAGCAAGAUUCAAUUGCAUGGAAAUUUAGAACUCAAAAAUCUAAUAACAUAUGCUCCAACUUUGAGGACAAAUUUGGAGCACUUUUUGGAGUCCAUUUUAUACAUACUAUAUAUCGUUUCGAAGCUUGGGAAGUCAGGAGUCCACCACUUCAAACGGUGUGCAAAUCAGAGUUGAAAUGAAGAAGUUAUGGCCAUUUGAAGAUAACUGUGCAGAGCUAAAAGACCAUUUCGAAAUGAUUUCGAAAUUCAACUUAUGAAUUCAAAAUCCAAUUCGAAAUGACCCCAAUUUCGAAUUCACACACUACCACAUUGAUAGUUCACCUCCUAUACUUCGGGAAUUGCAUCUUGGGCACGUCAUCCGCCCUAAGUGGGCUCCACACAACUAGAAAUCACUAUUUUAUUAUUUUUUUAGUCAUUUUAGGUAAUUAUUUGUAAAAUAAGUGGCCAAUAGGAACAUGCCACCUGUUACGUUUUUUAGUGGAAACUAUAAAAACUCGAUAUUUAGUUUUUCUAGGGAGUUCUUGAUAUUUUGAGGAGUAGAGAUGGCUUGACGAUUCUUGGGGGGAGAGAAGAAGACCUUAAAGGUUUUUCUUGGUUUGUUUUCUUUCUUCUUUUUAUUAUUGAAUAAAUUAUUGUUUUUAAUUUCUUUGAAAUCAAAAAUGGUUCUUUCUUAUUCUUUUAUGGCCUAUGUAUGUGAGGACAUGCCCACAAGAGGCUAAAAAGUCAUCUUAGGGUGAAACAUGAAAACCUAGAGUUAGAUCUAAGGGAAACAAUGGGUGAAACCGGAUUAAUAAUGGAAUGAAUGAAAGGUUAGGGCACUAGUAUUGAGAUCAAAGUACCCUUUAAAGUUAGUUUGACUUAGGAGAUUAUACAAUCACAUAUUCCUUGAUACUAGGGAUUCUUGGUAAGUCUUGAUCUCUAGUUAUCAAAGGUUUUAUCAUUGUUAUCUACUCUAAGGCAAAUCUACAUAGAGUGGUAAAAGCUUAAAAACCUUAAACCUAAACCUAGAUUUCAUGUUCAUUCAUCUAUUAGGUAAUUCAAUGGAAUAAAAAUAUUAAAAGUUAUGAUAUAGAUCAACUCUGAGGUGUGAAACUCAGGUCGAUCUCAUUAGACCAUGCAUUUUGAUUACCUUAAGACUAUUAAAUUAUAUACCCUUGUUUCGCCUAAAGGUUUAUACUUGAAGUUGGAUUGUGGACCCCCAUUCUUGAUUAAUUGAAUUAAAAAUCAAUAAUCACUCUAUAAUUUAAAUAGGUUUAUUUAGGAAAUUUUCAUCCAUAUUUUAUUAUGAUUUAUUUGAAUUAGAUAUUUUUUACUUUUAGUAAAUAAUUAAUCAUUUGAAUCUAUAAACAAAUAAACAUAUUAGAACUGAUCUCAGAGGAUGACAACCCGGAAUACUACAAAGUCGUCGUAACUCUAUCUUUGGUUCUUCUUGGCCAGAGUUAUCAUGUAUUUAGGUUUUAGUAUUUUAUUUACAACAACGAUUUACGGUCAUACAACUAGACAACUCAACAUUUUGUUCUACACUUCUUUUCCAAAAAUGUCUCAUGCUAGCUUAAAUGAGUCUCUUUGAUUGUAGAAGGAAACACCUACUCCACUUCAAACAAAGAGACUAACAAGUGUCACAAAGUUUUUAUUUAACAUCAUGAAGAAGAAAUGAUUAGGUGAUUCUUCCUCAACCUUGGAAGGAUGACAUUUAUUAGCCAACUUCUAUCAUCUUCUUUUUAACCAAUCCAUUAUCAAAAUUCACCCCCACACUACUUCCUAAGUAAAGAAUCAAACUUUUUUCAACAACUAAGAGUUCCAAACAAGAGUAGAAGUCUUUGACUAAGAAAUUUUUGCCCUUCGGAUCCUUCCAAAUCAAUCUUUUUUCCUCAUCCCUCUUCAUUGUAUACUUUUGAAGUUUCAAGGGAAAGGCAGUAGCACUUUAAGGCCUCUCAAUUAGGAAAUUGUUUUGAGAAACAAGGACUCCAAUGCACUCUCCCCCUUUCCCUUGACUUCUCCCAUAUGUCUGUAACCCUUGCAUCAUUUGAGAUGGCUAUGUCAAACAAUAAUGGCCAAACAUCAACCACUACCUCUCAUAGAUCUUUCCUAGUGAGCCACAUGGCUUUGAAAUGGAAGGGUCUCCAAGAGUAUUGGUUGCUGAAUUGAGAAGAUAGACAAAUUGGAGCAUGGUUCAAACUAACACAAGUAAUAGGUUUAAGCCAAGCAUUUAGGUAUUUCACUUUGCAAUUAGCAUUAAUAAGCACCUUAUCUAUGCGUUCAAAGAUAGUUGCAUACUUGGAAUGCUUGUUGUACAUGCUAAGUAAAGGGGAUACCUCAAAAUUCCAAGUCAAUGAGCCCACAUGCACUGACGCACUCUUGGAAGGGGUUGAGUUGAAACAAAUGAGGGUUGGAACCACCUUUUUUGUCAUUGGGCAACAACAUUACGUUAAAAUCUUCUAUCACAGUCUAAGGCCCCGAAAUUCCCGUUACAAUGUCAACCAACUAAUUCCAAAUGGGCUUUAUCGUUUGUACUUGAUACCAUAGAUGGCCUAUAGCAUCCAAGGAAUAUUUCUUUCAAGAUCAAGGAUAGAGACGUGAUGGUUAGGAAACGAUACUUUUAUAAUCAUCUCAUCCUCUCCUUAUUACCUUCCACCUCCCUACUGUAGAUAUAUAUCCCUAAACUCAUAAGAACCGCAAUCCCCUUGAUGGUUGGGAGGAUCUUCACAAUAUUUAUGUAGCUCAAAAACUAACAUACAAAUCUUCACUAAACUAUUUCUCCCUCUUAAUUGUGUGUAGCUAAAAAUCGCAUAUUCUUAAUGAAAUUUCGAACCACCAAAUAAGAUUCUUUCUCAAAGAGGAACGAAACUCUUUAAUAGGACUCCAAAGAAGCCUAUGACCAUCUAUAUUUGAGUGUUUUGGAUCACAAUUUAAGAAGAAAAGACCUGGGAACAAAAUAAUGUAUGUGAACAAGUGGUUGCCCUUGUGAACUUUCCUGUCCUUGAUUAGUGGAAUGGCUAAACAUUUGAAUUAAAGCUUUAAGAAGUCACACGCAUGGCUCUUAUCAAAUACCUUCUGAUUACUAGAAACACCACUUCUUAUCCAUGCACAUGCCAAUUACGAAUUCAUUAUCAAAGAUGGUUUACCACUAAUAGUUGAUUAAAUAAUAGAUCUUUCCAACUUAUGCUUAAAAGUAUAGGUAUUGGUGAUAUUAAAAAAUGCUUCUUUGUGUAAGGGAAGGCUAUUGGAUCAAAUGACAAAACAUUAUUCAAAAAACAAAAGAAUGAUCUUUAGGCUAUUAGAUCAAAUGACAAACAUUAUUUUUUUUUUUAUAAAAAAAGAUGAUCUUUCUUGCAUAAGUGUGUGCAACAUUGUUUUAAAUGAAAAGACGACUCUUCCCAUAUGAGUAUAUGUAAAAUUGUAUGCCCUUAGGGAUGGUAAGUAGGUAACUUAUCAUGUAUCCUCUUAAGAGUGGUGUUGUUUGACAAUUAUUGUCAUUAGGUUUUUGAGAUAGUGCCACAACUAAGUUCUUUUUUAGUUAAUUACUAAAAGAGUAAUUAGGUAAUUUGGCUAAAAGGAAAUGUCAAGUUUUUUAAGAAUAGAUGUAGAUUUGGAGACUCAUUAUAUGACUCAACGUGAUCUCUAUUCCUUUUGAGCCUAUUGACUUUAGCGUUCUAUAGGAUCUCUAUGAGCAUGAAUACAUUGGAUUGGAAAUCUCUUUGUUCUUCUUGCACAAGUUUUGGUGAAAAUGGAUAAGGAUGCUUCUUUGUACUAAAAUUUGGACAUUGUGGCUAUUUAAGACUCAAGCUAGCUCUUUCCAAUUUGAUUAUUUCUACUUGCCAAGAGAAUCCUUAUAAAUUUAUUUUUUGAGGUUUUUUAAGUGAUAUGACACUCACAACAAAAGUUUUUCAAUCAUCCCUUUUAAUAACAUGUCACUAGACAAUGACUUUUAAGCUAAAUGCAUAACUGAACGAAAAAAUAGACAUUUACUAGAAGUUGUCCGUGCCAUAAUGUUCAUAAAUAAUGUCCCUAAGUUAUUUUAGGGAGAAUCCAUCCUCACUGUCACUUAUCUUAUAAAUUGUCUUCUAGGGUUCUCCAAUUUCAAACUCCCUUACAAAUCCUACUCCAAACCUAUCCUAACAUACAAUUAAUCCAAAAUCUUCCCAUAAAAACAUUUGGUUGCACUCUCUUUGAUCAUGCCUCCAUUAAUACCAAGCUUGAUGCCCGAGCCACAAAAUGCCUUUUCCUCAGAGAUUCACCAUGCCAAAAAGGAUACAAGUAUUACUGUCCUAAAACUAGAAAAUUGUUUGUUACCAAGGAUGCUACAUUCUUUAAGGACCAACCAUACUAAAAUAAUCCUUCUCUUUAGGGGGAGAAAUAAAGUGAAGAUUGUAUUUAGGAUUUCUCAACUAUUCCUCUUCCAAUCUUAACUGAGUCAUCAAAUUUGUCCAAACCUUUAUUUGAGUCAAUUAUGCCACUAACAAUUAUGGAAAAUACAUAGAAAAAAAAAGUUAGAAAUAGGAAGAUAUCAACCUAAGCUUAAUUACCAACCCGAGCUCCAUGUUUAUUCGUGAAAAUCAAAACAUCAAGUUUCUCAGGAAGUACUUCUUGUUACACUCCAAGAGCACUACCAAGAGAUUGAACCGGAAACAAAUCCUAAAUGUGAAGGAGUCUCAGGUUUCCUGAGCAAUCAACAAGAAGAUAUAUUGCAACAACAAAAUGAUUUGGACAUGCCAAUUGCAAUUAGGAAAGGUAUCACAUCAUGCACGGAGCAUCUAAAUUGAAUGGCAAAUGGGUGUUCACCAUCAAGUAUAAAUUGAAUGGCAAUAUAGAAAGAUACAAGAUUUGACUAGUAGGCAAAGGUUUUACCCAAAACCUUUGGUGUGGAUUACAAUAAGACCUUUGCUCCGGUUGCUAAGCUCAAUACCAUUAGAGUACUAUUAUCACUAGCUGCAAAGCUUGAUUGGCCACUUCAUUAGAUGGAUGUGAAGAAUGCUUUCCUUGAUAAGGAACUUGAUGAGGAAGUGUAUAUGGGCUUAUCCUCGGGAUUUCAUGGGGGUAAUGAAGGUAGAAACGUAUGUAGGUUGAAGAAAAUCUAUCUAUGGGCUGAAGCAAUCACCAAGAGCUUGGUUUGAUCGCUUCACAAAGUCUAUAAAGAAAUAUGGGUACAACUAGGGCCAAACAAAUCAUACAUUAUUCUUCAAGGACUUCUAAAAUGGGAAAGUGGCUAUUCUAAUAGUGUAUGUAGGUGAUAUUAUUCUUGUGAGAGAUGACUUAAAGGAAUUAGCACGACUAAAAGGAUUUUUAGCACAAGAAUUUGAGAUCAAGGAUCUAGGUCAAUUGAGGUACUUCUUGGGCACGGAAGUGGCUAGAACAAAAAAAUGGAUUUCUAUAUCACAAAAGAAAUACAUAAUUGACUUAUUGAAGGAAACAGAUAUGCUUGGUUGCAAACCAUUUGAGACACCUAUAGAAUGAAAUGGUAAGCUAAGAAUGAAAGUAAGUAAUCCAUGGGGGGAGAUACCAAAGAUUGGUUGGAAAACUAAUAUACCUUGCUCACAUAAGACCUGACAUAGCUUUUGCAGUGAGUUUAGUUAGUCAGUAUAUGCGUGACCCAUCCCAAAAACAUUUGGAUGUUGUGCAUAGAAUAUUGAGAUACCUGAAGACUACACUUGGAAGAUGGCUAUUCCUUGGCAAAAAUGAGAAGAGGGGUGUAGAGGCUUAUGUAGAUGCAGACUAGGCAAGUUUUGUUGAUGAUAGAAAGUCAACAAUAGGAUACUACACUUUUGUAUGAGGAAACCUAAUCACAUGGAAAAGCAAGAAGCAGGAUGUUAUGGCCCGGAGCAGUGCGGAGUUGAAUAUAGAGCACUAACACAAGGAACAUCAGAGUUGAUCUAGCUUAAAAGCCUGUUGGAAGAACUCAAGAUACAAGUAUGAAACUUAUGAGGCUUUUUUGUGAUAAUAAUGCUGUUAUUUUACAUUGCCCACAACCCAUUUCACCAUGACCGCAUGAAGCAAGUAGAGGUGGAUAAGCAUUUCAUCAAGGAAAAGAUUAAAAAUGGAGUGAUAUGCAAGACUUAUGUACCAACCAUGCAACAAAUAAGAGAUAUACUCACCAAAGGGCUAUCCAGACAAAGUUUUGAAGAUUUGGUAGACAAGAUGGGAAUAAUAGAUAUCUAUUCACCAACUUAAGGGGAAGUGUUGAAAGAUUAUGUUUUUCAAUUAGUUUAAAUUUGUAUUAUUUAAAAAAAGAUCAUAUUAGAUUUGUUUGUUAAACAACUAUCUUAUCUGAUUAGGUUGUUUAUUUUUAAAUUUAUAUUUAUGUUCCUAGAUUUCAAGUCAGCCAAAAGGAUAUCUUUAGCUUCUGUUUUACGUAUCUUGUAACUCUAUAAAUUAGAGUUUUAUGUAGUGGAAAAAUCAUAGUGAAUAAAAAAUAUCUUUUCAACUCAAUAAUCUUCAUCAUGAAAGACACAAUGAAUUUUUUUUUAUUAAUUCUAGAAAAAUUGAAAUAUAUUUUAUAUACUCUAUCCAAAGUGGAAAUCCUUGCUGAUUUUACUUGUAUUAUGAUUCUAAACAUAGAUGUGCAUCAAAUGAUGCAUCCAUAGAAUUCUACCAAUUUGUUAAAAAAAAUGUGGGGAGGAGAUAAAAAUGAUUUGCAUUUUAUGUCCUUGCUCCCACCAUUAUCCUGAAAAGAAAUGAGAACUUGAUUUUAUAGUUUCACAAAUUACAUAUUUAUACAAAAAAAAAAAUUGUAACAAACUUAAAAAAUAUUUAUUCACUUUGUAUCAACAUUAAAUGUUUGCAUCUUAUGAUAUUGAGAAUUUUGUUAUGCUGCUCCAACUAAUCAUGGCUCUUCUUUGAUAUUCUUAAGACCUUCACCAACCCAUCCAUGUCUUCCAUUCCUUUUGGCAUUUUGGGGUUGUCGAGUCUUAAGACUUGCACCAGCUCACUAUGUUGCCCCCAUUGUUCUUAAAUUACUUCCAAGAAAAAGGAAAAAGAAAAGGAGAGGAAAACAAAACAAAAAAAUGUACAAUAAGAUCCAUUGGAAUAAUUAAAUUCAUUGAACACCUAAUCAAACACCUACUUAAAAUGAAUUAGAUAAUAGUAUGGAUAGGAUUACAAUAGUUGGCAACACUAAUCUUAAGUAUAUUAACAACAUUAAUUUUGAGCAUUACAAGAAAAAAAAUACAACUUUACGACUUAUAAGAACAAAGAAAAUAGAAAAUUGUACAUAAGAUCCACUAUAUAAGUGAAGUUGCAUGAAUCCAUUUUUCAUGGUAAAAUAUGGAUAAGACAUCUUAUAGUUUUUAACUUGCCAACCAUUACAAUGUAUAAUCAAUCAAACAAUGAUUUUGAGUUACAAUAAAAUUUUUUAUGGUGGAGCAACCCUUUGUUGACCUAAAUCAUGCAACUUGAUUUUAUUGCAAUACAUUUGAAUACAAGGUUAACACUACAAAACCAAGUUAACCAUAAAUGCAUGUCAAAAUUACCCAAUGUUCAAUUUGAAUAACAAUUCUACUUGGUGUUGGCAAAUAAAUAGGCUUGGAAUCAGAGCAUACCUGAACCAUGAGUUCAGGUCAGUAAUUCUUCUUUCUUUAUAAUUGUUAUGUUUUAUUUUCCUUGGAAGCAGUGGUAAUAAAAGGUUCGAUGGGUGCAUAAACUUGAAAAAAAAUUCAUCUUAGGUUUAAGUAAAUCACAUCACAAAAACAUAUGUUAGUGCGAAACUAUAGGCAGCCUGGUUUAAAGACACAAAAUGGGGUGAGGUGGUUUAUUUAAAAUUCUUUAAGUUGCUUACCUAAGAUAAACUUCAGAAUGAACAAAUUUUAGGUAAACCAACUUAAAAAACUUCACAUUCCUAUUCCAAGUUUAUGGGAGUUAGAGUUCUAAUUUUAUUUGCAACAAAGAAUCUCAACUUGGAUUAAUCAACUUAAACAAAAUCCACUAGUGAUAUAUGUUCCUUUAAUAAUGCAUUUUUUUAUUUAUUAAAUUGAAAGUAAUGCAUGUAAACUAAGAGACAGAGUUUUCCUUGAAACCUAGUGAUGAACAAUGUGACUUAAUCCAAGAAAGUAGUGCACUAAAAAAUAAAAUUAGGUACAAAAGGAAGUUCCAUAUAAAGAGAAUGCCUACAAUGUCCAUGCCAAUCACCUAAUUGGAAUCAUUGGUUAUCUUUAGGAAAUAAGGACAAAUCAACAAAGUGAAAAAAAUUACCUAAAGCCCAAAGCGAAGAUUAAUGUCGGCUAAAAUCUACAAUGAGAAUUUUAAGAGAAGAAACCUUGAGGUUUGGAAUUUUUUUCUCUUCUAAUAUUAGGUUGAGUUAUGGAAGGGAUAGAAGUCCUAAAAGGUAAAAAAAAAAGGAAAAAAGAGUUACCGAUCAGAAAAAGGAAGGAAAAAAAAAAUUCCUUCAAACAAAAGAAUAAGACUUUGAGAAAUCAAGUUGAUGGGGAACAACAUUGAAAACAUCCUUUAGAGACCUACAAGAGAGGGGGUAAAGGCUAGUUGCAAUGCCUAAGCCCUAAUUUGAGGCACUAAUGAUGGUUUAGAUUCAUCUUAGGACAUGUCAUGAUUAGUUUGUUGGUUUUCCAUUUUAGUUAGUAAAGCUUCUAUUUUAGUUUGUGGUUGAUUUUUGUUGAGUUUUUAUUUCUUUUAGUCCAAUUAUUCUCUUAAAAAGGUUUCUAUUUCCUUUAGUUUCUAAAUAACAUUCCUUUCUUGUGUCUUUUCUUAUUCUUACAAGUAAACACAAAGGAAUUAAGAAAGUUGUCUUUCAAAGUAAGAGAUGAGAAUUUUAAUAAAAGUUUCUGGUAUGAUUGCAUUCUUACUUUAAUGAAGGAAUUAAUUUUAAUCAAAGUAAGAAAGUUGCUUCCUUUAAGGGUAUGAUUGCAUUCUUCCACGAAGUGAUUGUUAGGAAACUCUUAAGUGUGAUUGCCUAAGAACCUUUUUGUAAGUUUUUUUUUUCUUUUUUUCCUUUUAUUUUUUUUCCAGCCAUCUUUUGGUUUCUCCACCUUAUUCUAUAUAAUAAGAAAGAAGUAUAUUGCUAGAAAUUUUCAGAUCUUGCAUCAUAAGCUUUCAACCCUAAAUAAAAUACUAGCAUAUGAGCACAAUGAACUACUCUCUACACUUUCUACCUAUGCUCUCAUGCUAACUCACAAAAAAACUCAAAAUUUGGAUUCAAAUGACCUAGGAAACUCUAUAUAGGGUAAAAAUGAGGGACCAAGAACUAAAGAUCAAUCAAAAUAAAAGAGAAGAUGAUUAGCAAACUCUUCACUAUUUUUCCAUAUAUCCAAUUUUCUUGAAUUGAUUAAUUGUAAGAAUCUUCCUUCAUAGAACUUUCUACAAAGAAAUAAACUAAGACGAAGCACACUUUCACACAUUUAGCAGUUCCUUAAAAUAAAAAUAAUGCUUUUGUGACAACUAAUUAACCCUUAUACCUUUGGUACUCACUAACAUUGGUGCUUAUUAAUGCUUUACUACCUCCACUCCCUAAUCAUAAAACUUCCUAAGAAAAAUAUAAAUAUCACUCAUUAAUCAAUCAAAGAGAGAUUGACAACUAAAACAUAAAACAAUUCUUUAAGAUCAUUCCUUUUUUUAAAUAAAACGAAUAGAGAUAGAUAAGUGAAUCAAUUCCUAAAAUGCUUUUCUAGAUAUUACUCAUUGUCUAAGCUAUUUAAGGAACAUGAAAAUCAUAAGAUUGUUCAUCUGCUUCCAAAAGAAAUAAAAAGAAAAAAGUCCUUAGGAUCUUAGAAAAUCCAUUCAUUUUUUUUCUUCUAUUUGGAUAUUACUAAGAGGCUCACUAGAGUUGUUGAAACAAGAAGGUUUUUUUGUCCCUUCUUGAUGAUAGGAAAAUUAAAAAACAUGAUUAAUUGGUUUAAAAUAAUAAUGUAUUUAUAAAAUACUUUAUUAAUGCAAUGAGAUAUAUCUAUUUUUGUCUUGAAAUGAGAGAAGGUUUGAAAAAAGGGUCUACACCAAGAUGGUUUCAUCAUGCCUUUAUUUAUUUAUUUUCCUUUUUAUUAACGUCAUUUCACAAAGGCGUAUCAUGGGAAGGAAGGAGAAAAAAUAAGCACACUUCGAAAACCCAAUAAAUUAGAGAAUGUAUGUCAAAUUCAGGAAGGAUGAUUCUCUCCCAAUUGUAUAAGACCAUAGGAAUGACAAUUACUUCACGCUCGAGGUCUCUACUUCAACUCUAGGAUGGGCUAAAUAUGCCUUCACUCAACAUCCAACAAAUACUUAGUUUGAUAUUAAUAACUCGCAAAGAUAGAAAAAACAUCUCAUCCCUUUUUAAUGGCUUCCUAAAGAGAACUACUAAGUGCACCCCCAAACCAACACUUUUCUCUUAAAGAAAGCCUUGAGAAUGAUUUUCUUAGUGAAGUGUAUUAAUCACAAAUAAUUAUUUAAUUGGAAAAAUUAAUUGACAAACAAUUAAAGAAUGUGCAACUACCAAUUCUAAAAGCUUAAGUUUGUAGGAUUUGAGCCCAUAAUGUUUAUCAUGCUCUUCAACAUUUUUCUCAGUCUUUUCAAAAAACAAAAAAGGAAAAGAGCACAUUAGAGCUUCUUGGGUCUAUGAUAACCUAGUCCAACAUUGGAAAGAUGACAUAAAAGAGAAAUAAAGUAUAAGAAACAAAUUGAAACCUUCGGAAAGAUACACCUUUUGCCAUGAAGUAGACUUAUUGAAAAGGAAAACCAAUUAUAUAAUAAGAUGCAUAGGUUGUAAAUUAGGGAGCUCUGGUUCUUGUAUAGUUCUUAUGUAGCUUAUCCACGAUUUCCUAUGAUUCCUUAAUUCUAAGGCUAGACAAAUCUUUGGAUGGAGGAAGAAGAUACCUCUAAUAUGAAAAUGAAGCCUAUCUAAUUUUUAAUCACCAAAAUUCUACCUUUGUUAGAUAUUCUUAAUCCACCAUGUUUGAAGAAUCAAGUGCAACCUUUUUUCCCAUAGUUCAGACAAGAUCAGUAACUAUUGCUAGAAAUCUAUUCAAUGAUAAUCACAACCUUCAAAUUCCCUUCAAAUUAAAUAGUAGUAACUACCUUAAGAACUUAAGGUCCUAAUUGAUCGAGUCCUUUAUUAAAGGAACAUGAAAGUUGAAUCAUCUUCUUGAGCUUUAACCAAGCAAGGAAGAUCCUAGGUUAAAUUCUUAGGAUGAAGAAAUUCCAUGGUCAUGUGUAGAUUGUUGAAUGUUUAAGCAACUAGAGAUGACAAGACAUAUGCUUCAUACUACUGCUCAAGAGAUUUGGGAAAAUCAAAAUGGAAUGAAGUAUAAAGAGAAAAACUAUUUCAAGUCCAUGUUUGAGGAAAGGUGUUGUUACCCUUUAUGAGAAAGGUAUUUUCAGUUAUUAGAGAGGUGAUUCAUAGAGUAGUGAUGCUAGAAAGCAGCAUGUUGAAUGGGUCAAAAUUAGUUGUUUCAAAGCCAAGUAUAAUGGUGGGAUUGCCAUGACACCAUAAAAUUUUAAGGGGUUAAAAUGAAGUGACAAGCGAGACACUCGAGAGAUCCGGAAAAGAAAAAUUAAGGCAAAAACAAACAAAUCUUGGUUAUUUGGAGGAAAAUUUUCAAGAAAUAGCUACUAUUGCAAACAAGGACAUGAGGUUCAAUGAAGAAGAUGCAAUACUUAAGAAAUUAGGAUUGUAUUUUUUUCUAAGUCAAAUAAGCAUCCUCCGACUUUAAAUGUUUCAAAAAAAUGCUUUUAGAAUUUCUUGGCCAUAGAUUUAGGAGUUAUUUAGAUCACAUGACAAAUUCCUCCAACCGUUUUAAUAGUUAUAGCUUGUGUCAUAGUAAAUGGAACUUUAGUUACAGUCAUUGAUCAAGGAAACAUCUAUUUGACUUUCCUCUUGACUCUAAAAAUAGUUUUACAUGUCCUUGAACUCUCUAUUUUUCUUGUCCCUUAACCCAAUUAGUAGGGACUUAAAUUAUUUAGACAUUCACACCACCUUACUAUGUGUUUCAAGGGUUUGUCAUGGGGACGAUGAUUGGGCAUGCUAGGGAAAAAGAAAGGUUGUCCUUCCUUGAAGAUAAGAGUGGUAAUAAUGAUUGUAAUCCUCUUUCUCACAAGGUCCCAACAAAAUACACCUUCUUAAAUGCUCAAUUCUAUUAACUAUAGUCAUUAUAUGCAGCUCAUUACAUCACAAUGUGCAUCUUAUCACACAACUUACAUUCUAAUUUUCUAGGAUUAAAGCCAUACAAAUAUCCCAUUCUCUUAACCUAUUGUGUCAUAAAAACAUCUUUUGUCAAUGGCACCUUAUAUGUUUCAUUAUAACUUUUGACCAAGUUUCUACAUUUUGCAUGAAACUACGAUUAGCAUGUUGAUGUCUUUCCCUAUGGGUUGGGAAAAACAAGACAUUAUGCCAACAUGGAAAGUGUUUUUAUGAUACCAUUCAUAAGAUAGUGAAGGUCCUUAUCAUGGGUAAGUUUCAAUCUUUAAAGGGACUUUCUACAUGGGGGUUGCACUAUAAAGACAAUAACCUCAUAUAUUAAAUUGGACAAUUAUUUGUUUGGAUAAAAGUGAAGGUGCUUUAGGCAUUAGAGACUUGUCUUUACCUAAUAAGAUCCUUCCUAGAAAAUGGUAUUAGAAGUUUGCAAUGGAGAGACAUAGGUUUUUGAAAUGGUUUAUCCUAGGUAGGUUUAGUAAAGGGUUGUGUGGGUAUUAGGAGAGGAAGAGGGAAUGGGGCAAGGUUGUGCAAAACCAUAAAGUGAUGUUGGACAAAAUUUCAAGCUAAAAUUAGAUGGGUAUGGGAAAGAAGGGGAUAUGGAUGAGGUUGUGGAAAGCCAUAAAGUGAUUGGAUAAAAUUUCAACCUAAAAUUAGAUUCAAAGUAGAUAGAGGAAAGAGAGCUAUGUUUAGUCAUAACUUGUGGUAUGGGGAUUCUACUUUAGAUUCAAGCCAUGAUUGCUAGAAAAAAUUGUGCAAACUAAUUGAUUUAGAGAUUUAAUUAAGGUGGAAAGUCCUUUGUAACAUCCUUUUAUAGUUUUUUGGAGUGAGUUUUCGAAGAUCUUUUUCCAUUCAAAGAAGUUUAAGAUUCUUAGGUUUUCCCCAAAGGUCAAGCUUUAGUUAAUUGGUGGGAGCUUAUACAAGAGUGAUAAGAAGUUGACCAAUGAUAUUUUUUUCUUUAAAAUGGUGUAGUCUAUAGUCUAUGGCACCUAUUAUUCUCAUUUUUAAAUGCGGUAUAGUAAAACAAAUGGUGUUAAGGUAACAUAAGGAUUUUGUUGGAAAACAAAAAGGCUUGAUUUUGAUAGAAACAGAAUAACUUUUGUAGAGGAUUUUUUUUUAUUUUUUUAUUUUUUUUAUUCGAAGACACUUUCUUUAAUCAAAAUUUUGCAUGGGAAUGGAUUGGUCAUAAGUUCCUUUGCCAUAAUUAAGUUAAGAUAAAUGUGACCAACAUUGGAAUAAGCCUAGUUUCAAUGAACUAGUUGUUACCAUAUUAUUUAUGGAAGACUAAGAAUAUCCACUGGUCUCACUACCGAUAGGACUCUCAAAUUUAGAAGUACAUGGAAAAUUAAGUGUUUUUUAUUUUUAUAAUUGUGUAUUUUCUUUGAUUAACUUGAUGUAGAAAAAUAAUUUAUAGAUUCAUACUUAAUUUUUUUUUUUUUACCAUUUUAGUCAUUUUUUUAUAAAAUAAUUCCAUCAUUUUAAAACAAAACUUUGUUAAUGCUUAUUUAUAUUUAAUUUAUUAUAUUCUUAUUCAGGCAUGCAAAUGACCAAAAAAAAAAAAAAAAUCUAAAAUUUUGGCUGCAUUUUUCCUAUUUUAUAAUAUUUGGCUAAUCAACUAUGGUAAAAACUUCUUAAUCAUUUAAGAAUCCUUUUAAAAGUUGAUAGCAAGGUAAUCAAUGGCAGACUUAUCUUUCUGCUACUCAAUCGGGUGAUGAAAGUCCUUAAGACAUUGGAGAGUUCAACAAAGAAGAGAUUCAAAAACUGAGAAGCUUGCUGGGAACUCUCGAAAAACCGAGUGCUUGCUCAUUGGCACUCGUAGGUAAGUCUCUUAUCUCUAAUGUGUUAAGUGCUUCGGAUACUAAUUUUCCAAACUCUUGGGUCCUUGACUCAGGAGCAACAUACCACAUGACAAAUUCUUCCUUCAAAUUUAGUAACUACAAUCCAUGCCCUAGUAAUAAAAAGAUUGCAACGGUUGAUGGAUGAUUGACCAUUGUUGCUGGUCAAGGUGAAAUUAAAAUACAACCUUUCUUAGUUUUGAAAAAUGUUUUACAUGUUCCUAAAUUGUUUACCAAUCUUGUUUCAAUCCAUAAGCUUACACAAGGCAUAAGUUGUAAUGUCAUUUUUUACUCUACUCAUUGUUUUUCAAGACUGGGACUCGGGGAGGAUGAUUGGACAUGCUAGAAAAAUGAUGGGUUGUACUAUCUUGAAGCACCAAGCAAUCCAAAUAGGACUGAGAAUAAUUUACCUAGGUCAUUUAUUUCUGAAAUUGUUUCCAAUAAAGCCAAAAUUUGGCUACAUCAUCGUCGUUUAGGUCAUCCAUCUUUUAAUGUUCUGAAAAUUUUGUUCCUGUUAUUGUUCAAAGGAAUUGAUGUAGAAAGUCUUCAUUGUGAUAUUUGUGAAUUUGUCAAACACUGUCGUGUAUCUUUUCCCAUCAGUAAUAAUAGAACAUUUGUUCCUUUCUUGUUGAUUCAUAGUGAUAUUUGGGGUCCCUUUAUUGUUCCCAAUGUUUUUGGUGCUCGUUGGUUUGUUUCCUUUAUUGAUGAUUGCACUCAUGUUACUUGACUCUAUCUUACCAAACAAAAAUCUGAUGUUAGUAUUGUGUUCCCAAUUUUUCAUAGCAUGGUAAAAAAUCAGUUUGAUGUGGUAAUAAAAAGAUUCAGGUUUGAUAAUGCUUGUGAUUACUUUAAUCAGGUUUUAUCCCCUUAUUUUCAAAAAGAGGGAAUCAUUCAUGAAUAUUCUAUGUAAACACUCCACAACAAAAUGGGGCUGCUAAAACGAAAAAAUGGUCAUUUGCUAGCCUCAACCUGAGCUUUUUUUGUUUCAAAACAUUAUGCCAAAGACAUACUAAGGAGAGGCUAUCGUCACGGCUACCCACCUUAUAAAUCGAUUACCUUCAAGUGUGUUGAGGUUCAAAAGUCCUAUAGAAGUCUUUUCUAAAUCUUACCCGAACUUCGAUACCUCUAAUAAACUUGUUCCUCGAAUCUUUGGUUGUGUCUCAUUUGUCCAUAUUCAUGCUCAAAACCAGGGAAAAUUUGAUCCAAGAGCUAUUCGGUGUGUCUUUGUGGGAUAUUCCUCUACUCAGAAAGGUUACAAAUGUUAUCAUCCUCAUACGAGGAAAUUUUAUGUUUGUCGAUGUCUCCUUUUUCGAGAAUGAAUCGUAUUUUUCCACUCCUUAUCUUCAAGGGGAGAUGUCAUUGAUGGAAAAUAAGGAUCGGGAUUUGUUUUUGUUGGAGCUUUCUUUUUCCCCAUUUGUUCAACUUGAGUCUUAAUCCGAUCCAAGUCAUGAGUCUUGAGUCUCCAAAUCCACAUGUUGUCCUGAUCCAAGAGCUUGAGUCUCAACCUCCGAGUCAAAAUUCAGAGUCUUCGACUAAAGUAAAUGAAAUCCUUGGUCCCACAUGACCUUUGCAGGUGUAUUUGUUGAAAUUUGGCAUUCAAAGUUAGGGUUUUAAUUUAGGAAAGUAUUUUAAGAAUAAAAAAGGAGAGAUCAUUUAGGAUAUUUCUUUUGGAUUCAGUUUCCUAAUUUUAGGAGAGAAUCAAGCUAGAUUGAUAUUUUCUUAUUCAGUCAUUUGUGUAUAUAUAUGUGUAUGGUGUGUACCGAAUAAAUCAAUAAAGGAAUUCAAAAAUUCUUCAUGGUAUCAGAGCCAGUUUUCUGAAACCCUAAUCCCUUCUGGCCACUUCUUAUUCAGGCCAUCAUUCAUUCCGGCCAAGUCUCUCUGGCCAUCUCUCAAUCCGACCAUCUCUCAUUCCGGCCAUCAGUCCCUGUUCUCAGAGCCAAGGGAGAAAACGUUUUCCGGUCGGUCGAAUCGUCGUCAGAAAACAUUCACCGCCGGCGACUUUUCCGGCGAACUUUCCAGCGACGUCUUUUUCCCACACCGCAAGGAGCGCCUGGAGGAGAUUUCCAAUUUUUCCCAAAGCACCGGAGCCAGAAAACCACCCACGCGUCGGCCACGCGCGUUUUUCUGGCCGGCGACUGCAUCUCACGCGCCGGCACGUGAGCCACUUUCCGGCGACGCGCUUCCUCCUCCAGCCUCGCCUGACGCCGACUAGCCACCCUUGAUACCUGUUUCUGCCAUCUAAGCCCUGCACGUGCCUCUUUUGCCUCCGCGGGCCCUCCGAACAGUUUUUUCGGCGUCCUCUGGCUAUUUUUUUCUCAACCCCAAUCCCUGCACGUGCCUUGGGAAGUGUUCUUCUACCUUUCCGGUGGUGCCAUGAUUAUUUUUCUUUUCCAUUAGGCCGGUAUCUCUGAUUUUCUCCUCUUCCCUAUUUCUAGCAACCAUAUUCAGUUGUUUUCCUCAUCUCCAUGACAAAAUACGAAAUGACAUCAUCACAAGUAUCCAGUGUCAUGGCACCAGAAUUAGGGGGCAGUUAUGAAAUUCCAAACCUUUGUGGCAGUGAUUCCUCUUCUAUUUUCAUCACAGGACACAAAUUAAAUGGCCAUAACUAUUUACAGUGGUCACAAUCUGUGUUGCUGUUCAUUUGUGGUAAAGGAAAGGAUGAGUACCUCACUGGAGAAGUAGCCAUGCCAGAAACUACAGAAUCGGGUUUCAGGAAGUGGAAGAUUGAAAACAGCAUGAUCAUGUCAUGGCUUAUCAAUUCCAUGAACAAUGACAUAGGUGAAAAUUUCUUGCUGUUUGGGACUGCAAAUGACAUAUGGGAUGCAGCCAAAGAAACUUACUUAAGUUCUGAAAAUACUUCAGAACUUUUUCAGGUUGAAUCAGCCCUACAUGACUUCCGCUAAGGAGAGCAGUCAGUUACUCAGUAUUACAACACACUCACAAGGUAUUGGAAGCAACUUGACUUAUUCGAGACUCACUCAUGGAAAUGUUCGGAUGAUGCAGCAACAUACAGGCAAAUUGUGGAACAAAAGAGACUGUUCAAGUUUUUCCUAGGACUAAACAGGGAAGUGGAUGAUGUUAGAGGCCGAAUCAUGGGCAUUAAACCCCUGCCAAGUCUCAGGGAGGUUUUUUCAGAGGUUAGGCGUGAAGAAAGUAGAAAGAAAGUGAUGAUGGGAUCCAAAAAGCAACCUGCCCCAACAUUGGAUGCCUCUGCCCUUGCUGCUCGGUCAUUUAAUAGUAGUGGUGGAGAUUGUCAAAAACGGGAUAGGCCUUGGUGUGAUUAUUGUAAGAAACUAGGCCAUUAUAAGGAGGCUUGCUGGAAGCUUCAUGGCAAACCGGCUGAUUGGAAACCAAAGCCACGGUUUGACAGAGAUGGCAGAGCCCACGUGGCUGCCAACUCUGAGAGCACAUCUGUUCCCGAGCCGAGUCCAUUCAACAAAGAGCAGAUGACGUUGCUACAGAAACUAUUAAGCCAAGUUGGCAGUGGCAGUACUACCAGAAUAGCCUUCAUUGCUAAUCGAGGAGGAAUGACGUCGUGGAUAGUGGACACAGGUGCUUCUGAUCACAUGACAGGAGAUGCUGCCAUUCUUCAAAAUUACAAGCCAAGUAAUGGUCAUUCAUCCGUCCAUAUUGCUGAUGGUUCAAAGUCAAAAAUUGCCGGGACAGGUUCCAUAAAACUUACUAAAGACUUGUAUUUUGACUUUGUCCUCCAUGUUCCAAACUUGGAUUGUAAUCUUUUGCCCAUUAGCAAACUGGCCCGUGAUCUCCAAUGUGUUACUAAAUUUUAUCCAAACUCGUGUGUUUUUCAGGACUUGAAAUCAGGGAAGAUGAUUGGCAGUGCUGAACUCUGUUCUAGGCUCUACCUCCUCCCAUGUGGCCAAUUCUCAAACCAAGUCUUUCAAGCAAGUUGCGUACAGUCUCAGAGUAUGUUAGAGUCUUUCAAUUCUGUGUCAAAUUCUAAGGUCAAUAAAGAUAGUGAGAUUAUGAUGUUACACUAUCGCCUUGGUCAUCAUAGUUUUGUUUACCUUGCAAAAUUGUUUCCCAAAUUAUUUAUCAAUAAAAAUCCAGCAUCUUAUCACUGUGAAAUUUGUCAGUUUGCAAAGCAUACUCAAACAGUAUAUCCUCAAAUCCCAUACAAACCUUCGACUGUUUUCUCUUUAGUACAUAGUGAUGUGUGGGGUCCCUCACGGAUAAAAAAUAUUUUUGGCAUUCGAUGGUUUGUGACAUUCGUUGAUGAUCAUACACGGGUAACAUGGGUUUUCCUUAUGAAAGAAAAGUUAGAGGUCGGGCACAUUUUUCAAACCUUCAAUCUUAUGGUUCAAAAUCAAUUCAAUUCCAAAAUUCAAGUCCUCAAGUCAGAUAAUGCAAAGGAAUACUUUACUAGUAGUCUCAGUACUUAUCUUCAAAAUCACGGCAUUAUCUACAUAAGUUCUUGCGUUGACACCCCACAACAAAAUGGGAUGGCUGAAUGCAAGAAUAGACAUCUCUUGGAGGUUGCCCGGUGCCUUUUGUUUUCCUCUAAUGUUCCAAACUAUUUAUGGGGGGAAGCCAUUCUCACAGCUACCUAUUUGAUUAACCGUAUGCCAUCCAGAGUGCUUACCUUUCAAUCCCCAUGUCAAUUUCUCUUAAAAAAAUUCCCUCACACCCGUGCAGCCUCUUAUGAUUUACCACUCAAAGUAUUUGGUUGCACGACAUUCGUUCAUGUGUAUCCUCAAAAUCGUAGCAAAUUUGCUCAUCGAGCCAAUAAGUGCAUUUUCCUAGGGUAUUCUCCAACCCAAAAAGGGUACAAAUGCUAUUCUCCAACCAACAAAAGAUUUUACACCACCAUGGACGUCUCUUUCUUUGAACAUGUCUUCUUCUAUCCCAAAUCUCAUGUUCAGGGGGAGAGCAUGAAUGAACAUCAAGUUUGGGAGUCUCUUCUUGAGGUUGUACCUUUUUCUCACUCAAAGUCACCAAAUCCUUCCCAAUCCACGCCCAUUGAGGCUUUCACACCCAUGCCGUCAUCAGUCCAGCCAGCCUAGCCCACAAAUGUUCCUUCUCCCGUGACCAUCCAGUCUCUCAUGCCUAUUCAACCUAUAGCCCCACAACUUGCUAAUGAGAACUUACAAGUUUACAUCAGGACGAGGAAAAGACAGGAAUUAGAGCACGGAUCACAGCCAACAUGUGGCCAAUAUAUUGACUCCAUUUCAAGUCUAUCUGAAGAGAACAUAGGUGAGGAUAGGGCUGGAGAGGUGUUAAUUCCCAGCAUUGAUGAUUCUACUCUGCCGAUUGCAUUGAGGAAAGGUGUUAGGAGAUGUACAGAUCAUUCAAUUGGGAAUUAUGUUACGUAUGAAGGGCUAUCACCAUCUUAUAGAGCAUUUGCUACUUCUCUUGAUGAUACUCAGGUUCCCAACACAAUACAAGAGGCAUUCAAAAUUUCAGAAUGGAAGAAGGCAGUACAAGAUGAGAUUGAUGCACUUGAGAAGAAUGGGACAUGGACUAUCACAGAUUUGCCGGUUGGGAAGAGGCCCGUGGGGUGCAAGUGGAUUUUCACCAUAAAAUACAAAGCAGAUGGAUCAGUCGAGAGAUUCAAGGCUCGUUUGGUAGCUAGAGGGUUUACACAAUCCUAUGGGAUAGACUAUCAGGAGACUUUUGCUCCUAUUGCAAAACUGAACACUAUCAGGAUUCUUAUCUCAUUGGCUGUCAAUCAAGAUUGGUGCUUGCAACAACUGGACAUAAAAAAUGUGUUUCUAAAUGGUGACCUAGAAGAGGAAGUCUACAUGGAAAUACCACCUGGUUUCAAAUGAAGUAUGGCAAAGAAUCAGGUUUGCAAACUCCAAAAAUCCUUGUACGACCUUAAACAAUCUCCCCGAGCCUGGUUUGAUAGAUUCACAAAGGCAGUCUUGAAGUUGGGCUACAAACAAAGUUAGGCUGAUCAUACUCUAUUUGUCAAGAAGUCUCAUGCCGGGAAAAUGGCCAUAUUGAUAGUCUAUGUCGAUGAUAUUAUUCUAUCUGGGAAUGAUAUGGAGGAAUUACAGAAUUUGAAGAAGUAUUUGUCAGAAGAGUUUGAAGUUAAAGACCUUGGAAAUUUGAAAUAUUUCCUUGGUAUGGAAGUGGCUAGAUCAAGGAAGGGAAUUGUAGUCUCUCAAAGAAAAUACAUACUCGAUCUUCUUAAGGAGACCGGUAUGCUUGGAUGCAAACCAAUUGAUACUCCUAUGGAUAGUCAGAAGAAACUUGGUAUCGAGAAAGAGAGUACACCGGUAGACAGGGGGAGAUAUUAGUGACUCGUCGGGCGCUUGAUUUAUCUCUCACACACUCGGCUAGAUAUUGGCUUUGCAGUGAGUGCUGUAAGUCAAUUCAUGCGCAGCCCCACUGAGGAACGCAUGGAAGCAGUCUACAGGAUUCUUAGAUAUUUAAAAAUGACACCAGGGAAAGGUCUAUUCUUCAGAAAGACAGAGAAUCGUGACACUGAAGUAUACUCAGAUGCGGAUUGGGCAGGAAACAUCAUUGACAGACGGUCCACUUCUGGAUACUGUUCUUUUGUCUGGGGAAAUCUUGUUACCUGGAGGAGUAAGAAGCAAUCAGUUGUAGCCAGAAGUAGUGCAGAAGCUGAGUACAGAGCUCUAGCACAGGGAAUCUGUGAAGGGAUUUGGAUAAAAAGGGUUCUUAGUGAACUGGGAUAAACGAGUUCAUCUCCGAUUCUGAUGAUGUGUGAUAAUCAGGCAGCUAUAAGCAUAGCAAAGAACCCCGUGCAUCAUGACAGGACCAAGCACGUUGAGAUUGACAGACACUUCAUCACAGAGAAGGUGACUAGUGAGACGGUUAAAUUGAACUACGUUCCUACCAAGCACCAAACCGCAGACAUCCUCACCAAAGCUUUACCUAGGCCUAACUUCGAAGACUUAACUUGCAAGCUGAGAUUAUAUGAUAUAUAUUCUCCAGCUUGAGGGGGAGUGUUGAAAUUUGGCAUUCAAAGUUAGGGUUUUAAUUUAGGAAAGUAUUUUAGGAAUAAAAAAGGAGAGAUCAUUUAGGAUAUUUCUUUUGGAUUCAGUUUCCUAAUUUUAGGAGAGAAUCAAGCUAGAUUGAUAUUUUCUUAUUCAGUCAUUUGUGUAUAUAUAUGUGUAUGGUGUGUACCGAAUAAAUCAAUAAAGGAAUUCAGAAAUUCUUCAGUAUUCAAGGAGGAAGGCAUGCAUUCCUAACCUCUUGCAAGCCUAAGAGUCCAAACCAGCCUCUGGAAAAUUAGGUAACACCUGUUUCUGGCCCUAUUUAUGAAAAUUCACUUUCACCUCUUGAUAGUCAUGACCAUGAUCUGCCUAUUGCCAUUAGGAAAGGUACUAGAGAAUGCACUAAGCAUCCACUCUACCCACUGUCACAUUUUGUGUCAUACAAGAACCUGUUACCUUCUCAUAAAAGUUUUUCAUGAUCUUAAACACUUUAUCCAUCCCUACCACUCUAUCCAAAGUUCUAAACAGUGAGGAAUGGAGACAAGAUAUGUGGGUGGAAAUGGAGGCACUUGAGAAAAACAAAACUUGGGAACCGGUUGACCUUCCUUAAGGAAAGAGCCCCGUGUGAUGUAAAUGGGUUUUUACGGUGAAGUAUAAGACGGAUGGAUCACUUGAAAAGUAUAAGGCUCGGUUAGUUGCAAAGGCUACACUCAAACAUAUGAGAUGGAUUAUUAGGAGACCUUUGCACCGGUAGCAAAAAUGAAUACAGUAAGGAUUCUUUUUUCUCUAGCUGCUAAUUAUGAUUGGGAGUUGCAACAAUAUGAUGUGAAAAAUGCAUUCUUAAAUAGUGAUCUUGAAAAAGAAAUUUACAUGGAAAUCCCACUUUGUUUUAGAGAUGAGUUGAGAGGAAAAAUGGUGUGUAAAGAAGGCCCUUUAUGGACUUAAACAAUUCCCAAGGGAUUGGUUUGGUAGAUUCACUAAAGCUAUGACGACAAUGGGGUACAAGCGAAGUCAGGGUGAUCACACGUUCUUUAUUAAACACUCAAAGUUAGGGGGAGUCACGACUUUGUUAGUCUAUGUGGAUGAUAUAGUUGUGACCGAGAAUGAUUUAAAGGAAAAAAAAGCUCUAAGAUGUCAGUUGGCAAAGGAAUUUGAGAUCAAAGACCUUGGCAAGCUUAAGUACUUUCUCGGAAUUGAAGUGGCUUACUCCAAGUGAGGAAUAUUUAUCUCCCAACACAAAUACGUAUUGGAUUUGUUGAAAGAGGCAGGGAAACUCGCUUGUAAACUUGUUGAAACGCCUAUUGAACAGAAUCACCGAAUUGCAGAAAAAAGUGAAGAUGUGGUUGUGGACAAAAAGAUGUACCAAAGGCUCGUUAGAAGGCUCAUUUAUCUCUCUCAUACAAGGCCGGAUAUUGCUUACAUAGUGGGAGUCGUAAGCCAAUUCAUGCAUAACCUGAAAAAGAUUCAUUUACAAGUUGUUCAUAGGAUCCUUCAUUAUCUAAAGUCUUCUCCGGGAAAGGGUAUUCUCUUCAAAAAGGGAACUAAACUAACCCUUGAAGCCUACAUGGAUGUAGACUAUGUAGGCUCAGUGGUAAAUAGAAGGUCAACAUCAGGAUAUUGCACUUUUGUUGGUGGGAACUUGGUCACUUGGAGGAGCAAGAAGCAAACCAUGGUUGCAAGAUCUAGUGUUGAGUCUGAAUUCAGAGCAAUGGCACAUGAUGUAUGUGAGUUGUUAUGGUUGAAGAUUAUUUUUGAUGAUUUGAAGGUUAGAUGGGGGCACAUGAUGUAUGUGAGUUGUUAUGGUUGAAGAUUAUUAUUGGUGAUUUGAAGGUCAGAUGGGACGAACCAAUGAGGCUUUAUUAUGACAACAAAUCAACUACUAGCAUCGCUCAUAAUCCAGUGCAACAUGAUCAGACGAAGCAUAUUGAGAUUGAUAGACACUUUAUCAAAGAAAAACUAGAUAGUGACUUGAUCCACACCUUACGUUCCUAUAAGGGGUCAACUAGUAUAUAUUUUAACGAAGGGGCUAGCAAGCACCGUAUUCCAAGUAAUUACAAGUAAGUUGGGAAUGGAAAAUACCUAUUUACCAGCUUUAAGGGGAGGGUUAAAAAGUUACACGAUAUAUGAUUAUUUUUUGUUAAGGAAACUAUGUAAAUAUAGAAUCCCAUGUAUAGUCAACUGUAUUGAUAUCAAUCCCUGAUUUGUAGGGAUUUAUAUGGUAGUUUCUCUUUCCGUUUUGUAGCAGCUGUUGUAUAUAUAUGAGACUAGUCCUGUACCUUGAUUUAAUUUUUUGGGAGAAUAAAAUCAAUCAUUCUUUUCCAGAGUCCAAGUGACAUCAUUAAGUCUUAAACAGUAGGAUUUAUCCUCCCAUGGUUGGAAACAUGCUAUGGAUGAAAAAACGAGUGCUCUUAAUGAGAAUCAAAUUACAUGACAAAGGUGGUUGGUUAUCAUAGGGUGUAUCACAAAUAGGUGGGGAGGCAUAGGAAAAGUAAAUAAGACACAAAUUUUAACAUCUUCAAUUUUUAUUUUUUUAUUUUUUUUUCUCUUCAUUUAAACCCUUGUAUCACAAAUAUCACUCCUACCCAAAGCCUAAAAUUUCUAAGUAAUUAAAUUCAACCAAGCACAAGUAAACAAUAAUAGUGAAUAUAAUUGCUUAUAGUUGCUCUCAAUGUAGACCCAAGUCUCAUUAUCUAGUCAGCAAAACACAUAAGCAAAUCAAUGUGAUUACUAACACAUAAAUGGAUCAAUGAGAUUGCUAUUAUGUUAUAAACUUUAGGAAGAUUAUAGUUAAGUGCUUUACAAAAUCAAAGGGAAAGAAGAUCAUAUUUGUGAAAUAACCUUAUAGGUGUAAAGUAAAUGAGCCUAACAAAAUUUCAAAAGUGAAAUAUUGUGAAUUUUAACAUUAUUUUACACAUUCCAUGAAUAAAAUUUGUACAUCAAACACAAAUUUAAUUGUUUAAUUAAAGUAAAACAUCACAGUUUUCCUUGCAAACACUUAGGCAAUAUUACUCCCUACCCAAAUCUCUAAAUGUCUAAGUAAUUAAAUUCAACCAAGCGCAUUAUGUAAUAACAGUAAAUAUAGUUACUCUCAAGGUAGCCCUAUAUCUUGGAAUUGGUUAAUUAGAUGAAAAUUUAACAAUUCAAGUAAGAUAAGACACUGAUGAUUGUCUUUGUUGAUGCUUUGACGAUAUCACAUUUACCUAAAGCUUCAAAUAUCUAAAUAAUUAAAUUCAACCAAGUUAGGAUAAACAAUGUUAGUAAAUAUAGUUAUCUUCUAAGGUAGAUCAAUGUCUCAAAAUUGGUACAUCGGAUAGAAAUUUGACUAUUCAAUUAAAAUAAGGCAUUAUGAUUGUCCAAAGCUUAAAAUGUCCAUGUAAUUAAAGUCAAUUUAAGUGUGAGCAAAAAAUACAUAUGCUCCAUCAAGAUCACUCAUAUCUAGAAUGCAAAAUAUUUGAAUAAUAAGAUUCAACUAAGCACAAGUAAACAGAAAAUUGUCCUUGUAGUUGAAGAUGCUCUAGCAUAUCAAUUCAAAUAAGGCAUUGUGAUAGUCUUUAUAGAAGUUUUAGUAAUAUCAUUCCUACCCAAAGCCCAAAAUGUCUAUUUUAGAGGCAGUCAAUGUCUCAAAAUUGGUAGAUCCAAUGGAAAGUUAAGUAUUCGAUUAAAUAAAAGCAUUUGUGCAAAGUUUGAAAUAUUUAAAUAAUUAAAUUUAACUAAGUGUGGGUACACAAUGACAAAUUGCCCUUGAAGAUGCUCCUACAAUAUCAUACCAUGUCUUGGAAUCGAUAUAUUAGAUGAGAAUUUGACUAUUCAAUUAAGGCAUUCAAAUUGUCCUUCGUAAAAGCUCCAACAAAAUCACUCCUACACAAAGCUCAAAAUUUCUAAAUAAUUAAAUCAACUAAGCGUGGGUAAACAAUGACAAUAUGUAUUAUUACUCUCAAGGUAGUCCUAUGUUUCAAAAUUGGUAGAUCAAACGGAAAUUCCACCAUUCAAUUAAAACAUAAUGUUGUGAUUAUCCUUAUAGAUGUUCCUACCAGAUCGCACCUACCCAAAGUUUGAAAUAUCUAAAUAAUUAAAUUCAACUAAGUGCAGGUGACUCGAAAAGAUCACAUCUACCCAAAGUUUGAAAUAACUAAAGAAUGAAAUGCAACCGAGCGUGGGUAAAGAAUGAUAGUUCUUAUAAUUACUCUCAAGGUAGUCUCAUGUUUCAAAAUUGGUAGAUCAUAGGGAAAUUCCAAUAUUCAAUUAAAAUAUAGCAUUGUGAUUGUCCUUGUAGAUGUUCCUACUAGAUCACACAUACCCAAAGUUUCAAAUAUCUAAAUAAUUUAAUUCAACCUAACGUGGGUAAACAAUGAUAGCACUUAUAAUUACCAUCAAGGUAGUCCCAUGUUUCAAAAUUGGUAGAUCAAAUGGAAAUUCCACUAUCCAAUUAAAAUACAACAUUGUUAUUAUCCUUGUAGAUGUUCCUACUAGAUCACACCUACCCAAAGUUCGAAAUAUCUAAGUAAUUAAAGUCAACCAAGUGUGGAUAACUUGAUAGGAUCACAUCUACCCAAAGUUUGAAAUAGCUAAAUAAUGAAAUUCAACCUAGUGUGGGUACACAAUGAUAUAUUGCCUUUUAAGGUGCUUCGACAAUAUCACACCAUGUCUUGGAAUUGAUACAUUAGAUGGAAAUUUGACCAUUCAAUUAAAGUAAAGUAUUGCAAUAAUCCUUUGCAAAAGCUUCAAUAAUUACAAUGUCUUUGAUUGAAUAGUCAAAUUUCUAUCUAAUGUAUCAAUUCUAAAACGUGGUGUGAUAUUGUUGGGGCACCUUAAAAGGGCUCAAAAUUUUUAAAUAAUUAAAUUCAACCAAGCAUGAGUAAAGGACGGUACCAUUACUCUCAAGGUAGUCCCAUGUCUCAAAAUUGAUUAUUCAACUAGCAUUGUGUGUGUCCUUGUAAAGGCGCCAACACUAAUAAUAGGUAAACAAUGACAAAUUGUUCAAAUGCUCCAAUAAUAUUACACCUAUCCAAAGCUCAAAAUAUCCAAGCAAUUAAAUUCAAUCCGAUAGGUAAACAAUGACAGUAAAUACGGUAACUCUCAAGGUAACUCCAUGUCUUGGAAUUGGUUCAUCAAACCAAAAUUUAAAUAUUCAAUUAAAAUCAUUCAUUGCAGUUAUCACUCUUACCUAAAGCUCAAAAUGUCCAAGGAAUUAAAUUUAACCAAGGUCAAGCAAACAAUGACAAUAUAUAUAUUCUCAAGGAAGCCCCCAUGUCUCAUUAUAUGGUCAGUGCAACACAUAAAUGAACCAAUGGGACUUUUAUUUGCGUUAUAUAAAAAAACGAUUGCUAAAAGGAAGUCAUUUACACAAUUGAAGGGAUAGGAAAUCUUAUUAAGCUUAAUUCUAAUCUAAUUGUUGGUGUAUUAAUUUAGAUUGGUCAUUUUGCUCUAAAGAUUACUAGUUAGAUAUUAUUGCACUACCACUAAGUCUUCUACUGACAUGUUCGAAUUGAAGAAAUGAAUUUGAAGGUAAAGUAUGUAUGUAUUUUGCAUUUGUUUAAGUUAAAGAAUGACAAAAUUGAAUUCAAUAUAAAAGAAAGUCCAUUUUUUUUUUAAGUUUAAAAUAUUGUUUCUUUAUUGGUUUUCACUUUCCAAACUUACUAAACUUCCUAUUUUAUUCUAAUUAGACUUUUUGUGUUUAUA